rnacentral:lncRNA from 1 species
GCAGGCUGAGAUGUGGAAGAUUGGGCUAUGGUGCGAAAGCUCUUUUGUUGUUUUAAUUUCACCAAGGCGGGGCUGGGUUGGUUGAGUGGUCUCAUUGCGAAUGAAUAAAAGGGGGGAAUGGGUAUUAAGAGAUGGCUGAGAUUUAGUUCUAGUUACUUGAACUCUGCUCUGGAUUCUCGAUUUUAAUCUGUUUACUUCUUCCUUGCUUCUCUCUAUUGGACAGAAUAUUCACAGAAUCACUCUUCUUUGCUCUCUACUUUCUCCUUGUCUCAUGAUUUUGGUGCGUUGGAUCAAUGGUGCGAAAUUAACGAGUAUCAACGGUGGACUGGUUCGGCUUUAUAUAUUUUGUUCCUGAACGAAAUUUAAAACACUGCAACACCAUAUCCAUCGUUGUGGCUGAAAACCUUGUAUGUUUAUUUGGAAACCAGACGUAGAGACAAAUUUAUCUCAUUUUUGAACUGGCACUCUUAUGCGUAAUUUGUUUGAUGCUUGGUGUAAUUUCUCAAUUAAAUCUUCUAAUUCAGUCAAUCAAAUCAAAAAAGAAAACUAUAGACUGGGAAACUUUGCUGUGGUUUCUGUGGGCUUGUGGGGGCAGACUUGGCAUGCGUUUGAGCUAAAGGCAUUCAGUGUUUGGUCUGGAUUGGAAAGUAUUGGUAAACGGUAAGCACAAAACAGUGAGGUAUAUGAUGAGUAAGUGUUACUCAUCCGAAUAAAAAGCUUGUGGCCGGCAUCCCAAACUCAUCCUAGCAUGUAGAGCUCAUUAUUUCCCACCGAGGUGGUCCUAUUUUAUUGAUAUGCUCAAACAAGUAUGCAGAUUAAAAUGCUUUUCCGAGCCUGGAGAUAUACAACAGGCAAGCAUUCCACAAAGUUGGCAGUAAACAACACACGACCAGCUGGAAACGGUUUGUCGAAGUCAGGAGUCACAAAAUCUCUUGGACAAUGCCCCCCUCAAGAACAAGCAUGAGAUGGCGUAACUGAACCCCCAGAGCAGAGAGACACCUAACACAUUUCGCAUCUUCUUGAUUAUAAAACUUAAUAUCAACCAUGUCACUAAACCAUCAAACUAACUGUUUGGGGACAUGAAUUUUAGACUAAAGUGAUAAUUGUUUCCAGUUGCAACUUGCAACAUGAAACUUUAGUAGUCGGUAUCUGUAGCGGAUAAUGAUAAAUUCAAUAAACAAAAAGGGGAAGGUAAGAAGUAGAAUCAUAGAGAGUGCAUGAGAAUGAUGUGAAAUGGAAUCAAACGAACUCAAGAGGGUCUGUGCAUUAAGAAGAAGCCAAAAAAGGGAGAAACUGUGAGUUCACGGGCUUGCUUCAUACUGUUGCAUUUCCACUCACACAUUCCCACUUCCCUAUCACGUUUCACUCACUCUCUCAACUCUUUUCCUCCCCCCUGUUCCUCUGCAUCCAUCUCCAACUUAUUUGUCUCCUACUCCAACAAGCAUACGACUAUGAAAUGCUAUUCUUCUUCAUCUGCUUUUCACCGACAAGCAUUAUUGCUAGCUGCGGUGGUACUGGUGGCCUUGGCGGCUUGUGUUAAAACAGGGAAAGCAGGGGAAAUUAGUAGUGUGUCCAAGGUUGAAGAUGCGGAUAACUUCCAUAUAUACUACGGACAGACCUUCAAAGUGAUUAAGAACGCCAUUGAUGGGAGAAGCUACCUUCUGAUCCAGAACAACUCCAAGAUGGCUGCUAGGACUAAGUACUGCACCCAGCGGAUCAGAUCUUUCCUCGUCCCUUUCUCCAACUUCUCCGCUGAUACUUACUUUUUCCCUGGUUCGUUCCCGCUUUAUUUUUCCUGCUCUUUCUCUUCAGUUCACCUCCAUGAAUAUAAAGUACAUGUCCUUGGAUCAUAAUAUAUCUCUAGGAUAUUCAAAGAUUCUGGGCAGUAUUUUAAGUUUGAGGUGUAUUUGAAAGCAACCCGUGUUAGAUUCCGAAAUAAUGUACAUUGUGAUAGUUUUACAUAUAAUUUCGUCACUUUAAAUUAAGUGAUCUUGGACGAUGAUCUAGAUUCGCCCACCCUGUUCUGCCAUUAUGCCUAAUUUAUCCGCCAACUUGUAUAGUUUAAUUUUACAUAUGUAGCUAGUGUCUAUUAUGUGAACGGGAGUCGUUCAAAUCCCAUAGUUUCUGGUAUUUGUAUAGAACAUGCUCUCCGAGUCGAAUCCACUCCUUGCCGAUACAGUUUAACAGUACAAUCGUAAGCUUCCCAUUAUCGUUUGGUGAUCCGGUUCUCGUAGUUUAGGGGAUCAAAUCAGUCUAGUAUAGCUUACUAACUGGAACAAAUAAUUUUUUUCAUGCCACUUGUAAUACUUCAGUAGAUAAUAUUCUUUUUUUUGGAUUUUGUUUUUGCAGUUUCCUAUUUCGAGGUAAGCUCAUUCCAAAUUCUUACAUGUCAUCUGUAAAAUCAUCGAACAAAGAAGUAAAUAUCCAUGUGUUGCUUGAAAUGAUGAAUAUUGUAGUUGCUAGGAUUACUUGGGAACCUGAAGGGAAUGACAACAAACGCAGUGGCUUCUGUAUGCACCCUGAAACUAUACGAAAAAGGCCAAAUCGCCGUAGUUAAUUACAAGGAUCGACCCCAGGAUUCGACGCAGUUCGCAGCCAAUUUCGUUACGAACACAGAUGUUCAACCGCAACAAACCUGCAACUACGCCGACUUCCUGCCUUUCAACGAGGAUCACCCUCUGCAGCGAGCAGAGUGGAUCAAAUUCAUUGCUGUUUUUGCAAACCUUGAGGCAAGGGCCAACCAAGUGUACGACAGUGUGAGUCUAGACCGGCCGGGUUAAUUAAAAUGUUUCUGGUUAACCGAUUUUGUUGAUGAAACUUUCUGGUUAUUCUGCAGAUUAAGGAAAAUUAUAUGUGCUUGGCUGGAGCUGCAGCCAACCAAACCAGACCGUUUAAGCCGGUUGUUGCCUGGUUGGGUUUUUACAACGUAAGUAUGCAAGACCGGUUCACAACCAUCCAUUUUAUAACAAAGUUUCAAUGAAGAAAUUAAUAUUGAUUGGAUAUUAAUUACAAAAUUUUUUUAUUUGUAUUGUAUGCACCAGAACAUUUGGUCUUUUACUCAGGACAAAUCCAAAUUGAAGGUAAAUUAAGUAUGCUGUAUUUUUUUAUUGAACAUCAAUAGUAUUGUUCAUAACAUUUGGAUUUGGAUUUUAUGUUAUUUUUUAGCAUUAACAUUUGGAUUUUAUGUUUAUUUUUUUAGUACCAAUAGAGAGAUUUAUGUUAUAUCGUUUGCCUAAUAAGACGAUGAUGCGGAAUAGACAGGAUAAAAAAUCAGCAUGUAAGAAAGGAAUUAAUGUGAUGAUUUUCAAUUCAAUUCUGUGUUCUAUGUCAUCACCCUACUAAGCAAAUAAACUGACAUGUCAAUCGACUCGAAAAUAAAUUUAAAAUAUCCUUCAUUAUUUAGUAAGAUGGAUAAAAAUAAUCUAACGAUGCUAAGAAAAAUAAUGCCCGUGGUUGUGAUGCUAAAAGUACCACAAAUGGUUUAUCAGGUGGUCAAACAUAAGUGGUAUCCGAUACAUUUUUAUUCUGUUUUUAACAAAAAAAAUUAAAAUUUCAAGUAUAGUAAACAUUAGUGUAAAAAUUAAAUUAACUAGUUCAAAAAAAAACUUGAAUUUUUACAGUAUGUGGAAGAUGCAGGUGGGGAGAACAUGGACAUCUCAAUAAACAAAGUAACCUACAACAUCUCCAACCCUGAUGAUCUGGAGGCACUCCAUGCUAUCCUUUGUGUAAGCUGAAAUUGUUUGUAAAAUACAACAUAAAUUUUAUAAAAUUAAUGAACGGUAGACGUGGUAAUCGACGAAACAGCAACUUCCGAUCCGGCGGCGUAUACAGUGUCAAGCUUCCUACAGAACGUCGGCGUCGAAGAUCGCUCUUGCUUUGCCUUCCUAUCUAACCAGACCUUGUGGCGAUACGACAAGAGACAGUACAAUUCCACCCUUGGUAACUUUAUUUUUGACCUCUGUUAAUAAUUAACCAUUGAUAUAAUUUGGCUAAUUAACUAAUUGUUAACUACCUGUUGUGGAAGUGAACAGAUUGGUACGAUGGAGCAGUGUCGCAGCCGCAACUGGUUUUAGCAGAUCUUAUUGAAGCAUUUCCCCCCACUGCUGCAAAUUCCACCACCACUUUCUUAAGGAACAUUGCUAAGGUUUCUGCAUUGUCUCUGUUAAUUUCGAAGGUUUUGUUUAGAUGAUUACUCUGCUUAUUUUUUUUUGUUUAUGUGUGGUUGCAUGAACAGGGUGAAGGUGUUGUGAGCUUAGAUGGUAGCAUGUGUGACAAGGAGGAUUUCUCUGCUCCCACCGAGCCGACCAUCAUUCCUUGUCCGAAACCGUAGCUCGAUUUUUCGGAAUACUGGCAGGUUAUCGGUUUGAAUUGCUUUAGUUUGAGGAUUUGUUAGAUAUUCAUGAGAGUCUGGGUUUGUUGCUCUUUAGUAAGAACAUAUAUACACCAUUCUUUUGAACUGCUUUUAUAUUACUAUAGGAUGGUAUAUUGUCUCACAAGAUGGACAUAGACUUUAGAGUCGAUCUUUUGAUGUUGUAGUGUCAUUUCUGAACAUUUGUUUUAUGACGAGGAAUCCAUUUUACCGGCAUCACAUUUAUGUAAACUUUGUAGUUGUCGACCUUCAGUAUGAGUACUUAUUUAGGUAGACUGGAGGUGCUACAAGAGGGUAGUGAGGAGUGCGCUUCCCGAAAUCCAAAUUUGGGAUCUCCGGAUUGAAAACCGGCGAAACUACCACCUCGACUACACCAUGUUCGCAUUUCUGAACAUUUUCUCCUUGUUUGUACAUUUCUGAACAGAGAAUUACUUGACUUAGAUUUGAAUACAGAACAAAAGUAAAUUGAGAUUCUUAUUCAUAUUCCAACAAAAAAACAGAGUCAUCACCAGUUUUCAAACCCUCCAAGAAAAUGGGGGAUUGAGUAUACAUAGUGAAAGUGGACUUGUUUCAUCUCACACACACAAAACCACUAAUCAUCAGUCAUCAGUAACACAUGGAAACACUAGGGCUAGCUAGUUACAUCUUUUUCCUGAAGUACUAGUGAAAUCCUUCAAGAGGGGUUUAGCUAGUAUUUCACUUUCAAUGAGCAGGGUUCCAUGUCUGAUGCUGCUGACUAGCUGGGUUCAGAAAACUGUACAUCUCAUUCUCAGAGAUGCAACUCAUGUACUUGUUAUUGUUCACCACUUUGAUUCUUGGCUCUCUUGGCGUAGUCAGUGGCCUGUUUGAUCUGCACCAUUAUAUUACCAUCAAAAUUGAACACAUUAAACCGACAAUUAGAAGAAUGCUAAUCAUGUUUAAAAAUUCAUGUUCACAUCUCCAUAUAAUACCUCUGUGGGGAGAAAGGUUUGUCAAAGUAGGGCAUCAAUUGAGCUCUGGGAACCAUUUUCUUCCUUAGCGACUUCACUUCUUCUUCAUCAAUCAACUGCACCACCAUCCCAAAAGUCAGACGAAUGAGUUUAAUUUUGAUAGCUUAGUUGACUAAAUCGGAAUUAGGUGAAGUGUGCAUGUAAAAUCAUUUUACUUAUUAUGGACCUUUUGGAGCCUCUCUAGCUGUCUUUUUUCGUACUCUACGACGUAGAUUUUGGUUGCAACCUGAAGAAAGAAGAUAACAAAAGUUAGCAAAUUCGAAGAUUAAGCAUUGUUUUUCACUGUUUUGGGUCCACUUUCAAUCAGAACUAUUGAUCAUGCCAUAUUAGGAUGGUCGGAGUCGGACUUAGCAAGAAUUAGACCCCGAUUGCGGCGCAAUUGAAUCCAUCGUGUUUUUGUGUUUGGAAAACAUUUUCGGUCGGAAAUUCACUAAUGUCAGAAAUUGGGUCCAAAUCCAACUCCAUUUUCGAAGCGAAAAGCAACCCCUUAAUCCCUAAAAAUAUGAGUGAAAAUUUGCAAUGACUACGAUUUUUAGGGAAUUGGCUCUCACGUAAUAGUUGAACAUGGCUCGUCUCAUAGCUCUUUCUUCAGAAUGGAGUUUGAACUCCUGGUUGGGCUUCUUCGUGUUUGUGUUGUUCUCUUUGUUGGAAGAAGCUCCUGGGCUCAUUCUUGGGCUUGUCUUUGUUUUCUCCACGGCCCGCUCUUUCCCUUCUUCUUUUCUCUGCAGAAAAGCCCAAAAUAUAACGUUAAGAAAACAGAAAUGAUUCAUAUGGAGCUUUUCAUCUGGGCCCUGGCCUUUUGUUAUGCAGGCCUGAUAACUAAACUCCUCAAUUAUAAAAAAAGCGGAUAAUUUUUUUUAAAAAACAUAGUUUCUGUGUGGUUAUUACUUUUUGAAAAUUGAAAUCUACGAGGUUAAUCUAACUUGUAAUUUUUUUCACAUAAUAGCAUAUACUUUCGUAUAUUCAAUUUCACUUACGAAUGUCGUUAAGAGUACGUUGGUUACUGCAUUAAAAAUAUAGUAAAACGAACGCGAACACGACACGAAUGCAUAGGCAUCUUACCAUUCCUCUGGUAGGAGAGCUCAUUGUAACUGAGGAUUGGGUGCUAGUCUUCGUGGACUUAGUGUGAACUUUGUCCAUGCUUCCCAUUUGGUUUGUUGCACUCUUAAGAACACUUACUUGAGCUUGAGCACCCCCCUUAACUUAAGGACUCUUAAUAAUAAUAGAUUAAAACUUGGAGAGAAGAUGAGAUGUGGGUUUUGUGUGAAAUUAUGAAUAGAACAAGAGUGAGAGGAGAGAAUUUAUAAUGGUUGGGAGACUUAUCUAUUCAUUCAUUCAUGGCUCAUGGCAUACAAGUGUUGAAAAUUUGUGGCUUUGUUGACACCAAACUUUCUGAUCAAACCUCACUCUCAUCUACACACUUUGUCACUUAACUACUUCCCCUAUGUUCCUUCGUUUCUCCUCUUUGCUAAUUCAGCUUAAGGAGAAUAAUAAGAACAGAGCUUUUAUUCAUUCACUGUCCACAUCCCAUUAAGGACCCCAUGCAUAUACAUACUACUCUCACAAUCUAAUUGCCAAAUUGGGUUAAGUUAUUCUAACACAAUUGUUCAUAACAUACGUACAUAUAUACCUAUGUUGUGAUCAGUGACGGAUACAAGGAUGCUUCUCUCAGGUCACAACUCAUCUCAUUUCAAGGUUUAGAACUUCAGCACUAUGCAAAUUUUCUUCGUAUAUUUGGUGCUUAAUGAGUCUAUUUUCAUACAUAUGGCCCAAUGCUUUUCCGUACUCUCCACCCUAGCUAGUGUACCGAACGGUUCUGGCCUGGCUACUGGUUGUAACUCGUACGUGUCAAAUUCAGACUUUCUUGAAGCCUGAGAUGAUAUAUAAAGAUUCGAGAAUCAAGAUUCAGUGUAUGGAACUAAAUUGCGGUGUAUUCAAACGAUCAAAUAGACAAGUGUCUGGCAUUUUUAAUUGUAUAGGGCGUGUACAUGUGUUCUUGAACUAUCUAAUAACGUAUGUAAUGUCCCCUAACUUGUCUGGGGCUUCAGAGACCAUUAGAAAUAGAACUUAAAAUUGUUCUACCAUGUAAACCAUUCGAAUUAUUAGAAAAUACUCGAAUUAAACCGAUGCUACCAACUACAAAUGUGUACAGAGAUCGCAGUAGUAAAGCUCAGCCUCAGAAAUUUUCGUGGCUAGGAACAGAGUACUGGGUUACCACCGUGUAGAACACUAGAGCUUUAAAAACAGAAAAUUUCAACUGAGAGUUGAAUUAACAUUCAAUCUAUUUCCAGAAAUAUCGUCUCAGCUACUUAGCUGAAAUUAGCCAGUUAGUAAUCGUACACGAAACUUGGCUAAUGUACUACUAGAAGUGGCAAAAUAUACAUGGCCCCAAAGGCAGUUGGUUGUCAUUUUCCUGUAAACUAAAAGUGACUAACAAACCAACGCAAGCACUUGAGUGGGUUAGUUAAGCAUCCCACUAUCCAACUCUUUUCUUCCUCAAGCCGUUAUCCAACCACAACAAGGAGUCUAAUUAGACCCGUUUGAAGUUUGGUGAUUCGAAUUCUUCUGCAUCAUAACGGCCGGGUUAGCCGAGUUUGCGAGUGGUACAAUACGGACUCAUUGGACUUUGUAUUCUAAGUGACACUAUCCGUUUAGUCCUAUGGGAUAUUUGAAUUAGUAAGUUUUUGAUCGAUGAUGGAACUUCAUCAGCCGCCAUGCACCCCGUGAUUUUUUCCGGCAAAACUUUUGCAUAUGUGUAUCGCUCGUCUCGAUAUAAUUUCAUUUGUCUAUUUUGCAUGUCGGUUUCUAACAAAAUCCACUUUAUUAAACCUAUGGCUUAAGGAUUUUCCUCGGCAUUUUUUGGGUUGAAAAUGAAUGCCAUGUUUUCUAAAAAUUAUUCAUCUCCAUAGGCAUACCCGCCUCCGGAUAUAAUUAGGGACGAACUUGAAUAUUGAGCUACCUGUCCAAACUCAAAUUCAAUUUUUGAUAUAUAAUUGACAACAUGAAAAAUGUUCAUUUUUUAUCCAACCUGACUCAAACCCGCCGUCACUCCUAUUUGAAUCGGUCCCUCGCGAUAACAUUAGGAAUGAAACCAUUGGCUCCAAUGAAAUGCUUUCAACUGAAGCUUUCAAUUAGCUAAUUAGUUAAAUGUGACACUGAAAAAGGGUAAAGAGGGAUUCAGAAAUUUGGGUUUGCUGCUGCAGUAUCAAUCUCAAGCUUUUCCCUUUUGUAUUAACAAUUUGGAUGCUUGUGUGAGAGUAAUUAAGAGUGUGGUUAGAUGGUGUUGACACAUCCAUUCUGUUGGAGAAAUGAUGGCCAUAUAUUCAAUGGGUCUUCUGAGAAUGUACUACUUUUUUCUCUCCGGAGAAAAUUACAGGCCACCACCCAUCUUCAUACUUCAAAUUAUAGUUAAACAGCUAGUGAUGAUCUGGUUAACGUUACCACGACGCAAUUUCCGGGUCGCUAUUUGCUUCAUCGUCAGGAAAAAUUGUCAAUGAGAAUGGCAUAUGAUGCCAAGUGCAGCCGACCUACUUAGAAUCAUGUAUUUCUAGCAUAGACAUGUAUUUUAGCCAAAGAGUUGUGGGCUGGUUUGAGCCCUAAAGCAGAGUUGAAAAUCCACCCGUACGUGUUAUCGAAGUUGGAUGAAAUCCUUCGAAUUGGAUGGCGACAUAUGGUAAUAUUUACAGAGUACGCUCCCAUCCCUGAGGAUGUGUGCUUACAGACCAGUGGCAUCGAUACUGCUACUUACGGCCAGCAUCAAUGCCAGCAGAGGAGACCCCUUCUUGAAAGUCUGGAAGAGCACUACGAGAAGAAAUCUGCAGGAAAAUAAACUCAGUGGCAAAGGGCAAGAGCCACCCCUGCCAGAAAACCUAAGCUACUCGAAGAUCCGAUUCUAUGCCUAAGAAGAAGAGAGCUGGGGAAUGUCUUGGGUGGGAAGAUGAAAGCUUUUCGAAUCGAUAGACAUGACAAAGCUUGAUAAUCAGCUUAUGGAAUGCUUGGUCAGGUUGUUUUUUUCACUAUGAACCCAAAUUUGAUGUUUUGAGUUUGGAAAAGAUCAAUCGACUGAUUGUGCAGGGAAGAAAACCCAGAACAGCAUACCUAGUUGAACAGCUAAAAGCGUCCUCAUUGGUUGUCGCCAUACCGCUGGAACUUCAUUCAAUUAACUUAUGCUAGACCGACAGCACUCAACUCAUCUGGUUACUAAAGCUGCCUGAACAGAGGACAUUCUAGUUCACAGUCUCACAUGUAUCAAGAUUUCCGAGAGCUUGACAAUCUUAAUCAGCAGAACUGUAGUUUUGUUGUUCCGAGAAAUCAAUUAACGGCCUGGUUUUUCAUCUUGUAAACCAAAGCCUCACUUAACCCUAGUCCGUUCUUACUGUGCAACCGAAGAUCGCACCAGAUAACCGGCAUCUACGAGUUGAAAUUACAAUCGACCAUGCAGUGAAAACACAAACCCAACUGAGCUUAACAAAGGAACCAAAGAGCAGCGCUUCUAUGAACAUAAAGGUGUUUGAUAAACCAACAAUAUGCCUGAAAGAGAACCCUAAUGCUUCAAGUCGGUUUUCUAAGCCAUAAAAAAAUGAAGGAUGCAACUUUUGUUGAGGACCAAUUUACCAAAUCAUAAAAUUAUAUUCUUAUAUAAGAUAUGAUAUCUUCUUCCUGCACACAGCUAUCCUUCUUCAUUGACACCUACACUCGGGCAACCAAGCAAUCACCCAAAUUCAAGAUUUGAAAGCUUAGCUAAAUCCGAUUACCUUUCUUCAUAUAUUGAAACAAACCAAGAACGCAUAAUUUCAACAGUGAUCGUGCAUAAACUAGGUUUAUUAAAAUGAUUCCAGUCUACAAACCGUUGAUUAAACCGGCGAUAGCUCUAAUAAACUAGCCACAAACUCCCACCAUGCAUGAGCAAACAAAAAAAUAAAGGGAUUCGAGUACACACACAAGGCAACGGAUCUAGAACUCGAGCUUGAGCUCUUCCUUCUCAGCGGCGGAGAGGUAAUGGAGAAGGUAAGGACUGAUACGGAUGACGGCGACCCAGGCAGUGAACAUCGCGGCGUGGUAUUUCAGCUCCUUGUACGCCGCCGCCUUGUCCGGCUUCUUCAUGAACAUCCCCGGAAACAUGACCGCCGACGAGUGAGCAGGGCAACUUCUCUUCUCUGGAUUUUUUUUCUCUAAAACCCUAAAAACAACGGAGCACGAGACGAAACUUAGUGGGCUUUUGGGUUUCCGCCAAAAGUGUUUCAGUUUUAUAGCAAAUGCCACCUCGGCACCGCCCUUUCGACGUAGACGGUCUAUUCGAUGCUAGUAGCGAGUCAUUAUGAAACACGUGUUCAUAUUUGCCACGUCAUAGUAAAUUGAAAUGCGAAUGGCUCGAACAAUUUCUCCUCCGGCUUUUUCUCCCCAAUCAACGCCUUGAAUUGAGUUUCUUGAUCUUUGCUCGCGCAAAUUCUCAAUCCCUAGCUGCAAAAUCUCCUCCACCAAGCGACGGAAAGGGAAAGAAAAUCGUCAGGAUUCAUCUCUCUUUUCCGUUUUAUAACCCGCGAUAAACAUAACGAUGGUGGUCUUCAUGAUCUGAAAGGAAUCCAAGCAGGCGCCAAGCUUCAAUUCUAUACCAUCAUGUUUGGCGGGAUACAGCUGGGAAUGCUGCUUGCUUGCAUUGUGUUGUUUGUGCCUAUGGUAAUGGCGGGAUGGCAUUUGAGCCGUCACAAGAUGCUCUUCUUCAGCUGCGCCCUUUUCAUCAUCUCUCUCGCGGUAUGCCUCCACUUGACUCCUUAUUUCCCUUCCGUCAACGAUUUCGUUACCUCGGUCCAAUCAGUCGUUAUAUUCGAUAACCAUGAAGAUUCUUGCAUUAACUUGGUGAAUGAAAUUGCCUGGGAUGUCAAGCAACACGGUAAUCAUGUAGCUCGAGGUGACGCAUCGCCGGUUGUUUAUGAUAAGAAUUGGGAUUGGUCCAAGUCUUGGAAAGUGAUGGCGUGUGAGUUUCAAAAAUUAGGCAAGGGGGAUAUUUCGGACUUGCUCAACGGGACGUGGAUUGUGGUGGCAGGGGAUUCACAGUCACGGUUACUGGUUCAGACAUUGUUGGGUUUGGUGUUGGAUUCUGAACGAAUGGAAUCGAUCAAAGGGGAGUUGUUUAAGAGGCACAGUGAUUAUGGAAUUGUUGUUGAAGAAAUGGGAAUGAAAUUGGAUUUCGUGUGGGCACCUUAUGCUGAUAACUUGACUAAUAUGAUGAUGGGGUUUAAGCAGAACGGAAGCUACCCUGAUGUUAUGGUAAUGGGAACUGGGCUGUGGCAUAUGCUUCAUGUCACGAACGCAUCGGAUUAUGGUGUUUCUUUGAAGUCGCUGAUGGGUACAGUCUCAGUUAGGUCGCCCCAUUUGUUUUGGCUUGGCAUGCCGAUGUUGGUAAAUGGGAUGCUAAACACGGGAGAGAAGAGAGAGAGAAUGACUGAUGAAAUGUGGCAUGCUUAUGAUAAAGUGCUUCGUGACAGUAGGCUCUUGCGUAGAUAUGGUGGACCGUUUGUGUUGCUUGAUAUUCAAUCCUUGAGUUGGAAUUGUGGUCCUCGUUGUACAGUUGACGGACUGCAUUAUGAUGGAGCUGUUUAUGAAGCAGUUGUACAGAUUUUGUUGAAUGCAUUGCUUAUAGAAUCUCAUCCGACGUUCAGAGCUGAAUAGGAUCGUUUUGUACAGGGUUCAGUUACAGAUAUUGCGCGGCAUAAACGUGCAUGGUGUCCUCCAGUUUUGGGGCUUGGAUUUCAUCAAUGGAAGUGCUGUUAUAUCAUGCUUUAGUGGUCAGUUGUUUUUACACGUUUCUCCCUCUAUGAGUCUGAAGCCUUUUUUGGGGUGUAUUCCUGGCAAUUCUUGUUCUCAUUCUUGAAAUGGCUUAUCCUCUUUUUAUUUUUACUUCAUUACAUUUCAUUGAUAUUGAAUAGUUUCAACACUUGUAACAUAUUUGCUAUACAUGUGAAGGAUUUCAAUGAACAGCCAGUACAUUCUUCCCGUCCAAAUGCAAUGUUAAAUUCAAGGUUCUUUGUUCUUACAUAUUCUGUCAACAGAGAUGACGGGGUUGAAAACUAAGGGUACUACUCCUGUGUGUUUACAAAGGAAAGAGCAUAUGCAAAAGCAGUGUGUUUAAUUAUUUCAUCUCGAGAUACAACCUGACGGAAAGAUACCUCUUGAUGUUUCUAUGAAUCAAUAAGCCUGCUUCCUGAACAGCAUACUGUUUGCAAAAAUAUCGUUAGAGUUUGCCAUGAGAUUACAAUUGUGGAUGGAUUAAGCCUCACAGGAAUUCUUCUGUGCAUGGAGCUUAAUGAGUUGCUUCUUCAUGACAGCACAUAGUUUAUUUGUAGCUUAGUGUUUAUGGAACUUCUCUGCCGUAAAACGUCUUUUUCUAUUUUUCUGCUGAGAUCUUGUCAGAGUAUGCCUCUUGAUUCCUGUCCAGGUAAUCAUCAAGUUCGCUGUUGCUUGAUUAUUCAUUGUAGUAGCCUAUUUUGCAUUGUUACUGAUUUCUGCUUGAUGAAUGAUGAUCUGUAAUAGCAAGUAGCUGACUGGUAGAGUAACAUCAUGGAUUUCCAGCUUUGAGGCAUUACUCAAACUGCUAGACCACAAGAAGAAUGCAAUGCAUCUAUACCAAAGUGUGACGGAUCCCUGCUGCUCGGAUAUAAGCAAAUCAUAUAUAUGUCUUUUUUCACAUCUAUAUCAUUGUUUUAUCACAGACAGCCAGGUUUAAAGAAGCAUGAAGCAGCAUUAUCAGAUGAAAAUAAACCGCAAGUUAUGUCUCUACUCUGGAAAUUACUAUAUUAGAAGCUGCAGAGAAGAUGGGUUCAUGGAUCAAAGCUAGAGACUUCUCCCACUUUCCAACACUAAGGCUGAAUUCGUUUAAUUUGGUACAGGCAAUGGGGAAACUAUGUUAAACUAGAUGGAAGUAUAACAAGUCAACUUUAUUCGAGGAAAUCACCAAAAUCUGCGGCGCAAACACUUGGGAUUUGGGAAAUGGCAAAUCCCAAGGGUUGUCUCACUUUCUGCAAGCUGAUUAACUAAUAUUGUUGCUAUUUGAGCAGGGUAGACUUUGGUUUAAUGAACUGAGGCGUGAGACUCGGAUCUACAAGCGGCAAGUGCCUCGAUUUCCACCGACAUUAAUGCUCCAUUAAUAUAAGGUAAUGAGACUAGUACCAAGUUUACGUUUUCUCAACUUAAAUCAUCAAUAUAAUAUGACUAAUUAGUUUAUUAAUCAGAUUUCUGUGAAAUCUGGACAAAACUGGUGUGUUGACUAUGCUGCAUAUUAAACAUUUAACUUUGACACGUAGAAUAUCUACUUAUAAUUUUCUUCUUCAUGUUUAUGAGAAUGCACAUUCCUCAUUUAAUGUCUUCAACGAUAGUCUGUGCAUACAGCAUGCAUAUAGAGUUGAAGAGUUACAUUAUACAUCUACUGAUCUACACUGUUAUAUUAUAACUAGUUUGUAUAUGUCAAAGUUUCAAACUUUUCCCAAGCUAUGAGCAUUUUUUAUAUACUCAUUUGGUAGGUUCGUAAUAGAAAAUUGAACUUAUUGGCAUCAUCAUCAUCAACGGCUCCCCUCUACUUCACAUAAAUUAUAUUUCCCUCUUCUUCGUCUCAACCAAACCUCCAAAAACCAGAAAAAAAUGGAUUCUCCUCAUAAACAGAAACCUCUAUCGACAAACCUCUUCUUCCUCUUCCUCCUCCUCUCCACAAAUCUCGUCACCCUCUUCCUCUCUUCCACCUUCUACACCUCCUCCUCUUGCUCCCUCUCCUCCACCGCCCAUUCCCUCAUCCCUUCCACCGUCUACUCCUCCCCCGCCGCUGCUGCAGCCGCAGAAGAAUCUUCAUCAUCAUUAGAGUCAACCAGCAGCAGCAGUACGGAUGAUGACGUCGACCUUCCAGCUGAGUUCAUUGCCUUCACGUCAGGCCAAGUGCUGCCUUUCGGUUUUAACACCAACUUCGACUCCGACAAAAUCUACCCUCCGGUGGGGAGCUCGUGCACCCGCUUCCCUGACGAGCUCCGGCAGUUCAUGUCCUACAAAGUCAACGGUUCAUGUCCUGAUGAUGAGCUGCUUGCUCAGAAGCUUCUUCUUAAAGGAUGCGAGCCGCUUCCUCGACGGAGGUGUCGUCCGGCGAGCCAGAAUGAUUAUGUAGAGCCUUACCCUCUGCCGGAGUCGCAGUGGAAGACCCCGCCGGAUUCCACCGUUGUCUGGACUGCCUACACUUGCAAAUCCUUCCAGUGCCUCAUUGACAGGUAUUCCUUAUAACUUGGCAAAGUAAUUAAUUACAUAUUUUUCAUCUUGUUAUUUUGGUUUCUUAUAUUAUUUUCUUGAUAGACUUGGUCUCGAUUUACACUUAACACUCUCUAUUUGACUUGCACAUUAAGCUUGACAACUUCAGUUCAGGUAUCGAUAUUGGAAGUCAAACAGUUGGGUCCAGGAGUAGAUCUAAUUAUAAAAGAUCUAACUGUAGAAAAUGUUAUAAUCAGUUAGUAUGUCAACAUUGAAGAAAUUAGGGUCGAGCCAUGAUUGAAACAUGUACAGAAUUAGACUCAUCCUGAACUUCCCCUAUAUAUCUAUGUCGAUGGUCGUAUUGAAAACAUUGUAACCACUAAAAUCCUAUCUACAGGUUCUGGAAGCAGAAGGGAUUCGACGACUGCAAGGACUGCUUCGACCUAAACGGCAGAGAAAAACACCGAUGGGCACCCCGCCCGAUCAUCGAAGGCAGCCUCGACUUCACCAUCGACGAGGUCCUGGCCACCAGAGCCCCCGGAACAGUCCGAAUUGGGAUAGACCUUGGAGGAGGAGUCGCCACAUUCGCCGUCCGGAUGAAGGAGCGCGAUGUUACGAUCAUAACCACGUCGAUGAACCUCAACGGCCCCUUCAACAACUUCAUCGCGGCUCGAGGUGUGAUGCCGAUGUACAUCAGCAUCUCGCAGAGGCUGCCGUUCUUCGACAACACGCUGGACAUCGUGCACUCGAUGCACGUGCUCAGCAACUGGAUCCCGACCACGCUGCUGCAUUUCUUGAUGUUUGAUGUUUACAGGGUGCUGAGGCCGGGUGGCGUGUUCUGGUUGGAUCAUUUCUUCUGUGUCGGGGAUGAGCUGAGGGAUGUUUACGGGCCGUUGAUAGAAAGUAUUGGGUUUAAGAGGGUGAAGUGGGUUGUUGGCAAGAAGGUUGAUCGUGGGGAAGAGCUUAGAGAGAUGUACUUGUCUGCUUUGCUUGAGAAGCCUUUGAAGAACUCUUGGUGAUUUUGAUUGCAUGAGUAAGUUAACGACUGUGUUUUUUGUAUUGUUGUAGCUGGGGUAGUGUUUGUUUUAGCUCCCAACUUGCCAUUAAUACUAUACAAUUUACCUUAGCUGGAGCUUUCUUCAAGUGACUGCCUCUGGUUCUGGUUUUGCUACAUCUUCUCUGUUCAUUCUCUGCCCGGAUGGUUGGUUCAUGGCGGAUAAUAAGUAAUAACAUGAAGAAACUUUAAUUUGUUGCUUUCCAAAAAAAUUUGAUCGUAUUCAUUAAACCAGUAUAACCUCACUAGUCACGGGCUCAUCAUGGAACAAUUUCAUGUAAUAGUACGAUUUGGGCCUUUCUCAGUCAGCCAGCCGCCCCUGCCUGAAAGCCCAAUCAAGCAAACGAUAUAGCCCACUGGACUUCUCAAUUGCUGUUGUUAGUCAUGUGCGAAGUCAUCAAGUACAAGUAGGUUGCCUAAAAACUGCACUUCCAUUUCUUAUAUUUAUAUUUGAAUUCUAACUUAAAAUUUUCCGAUCAUCAAUCUAUAACUUUAUCAUUAUAAUAACUUUAUUUAGACGAUAUGAUUGGUAAUUAUAAAAAGAUAAUAAAAUUUUAAAAAGGUUUGUAAUUAGAGAGUAGAUAUAUGAUAUAUCAAGUGAGAAAUGAAAAAAAUUCAUUCUUUUAAUGAGUGGAGUUAACAUUUGAAAACACCAUUUAAAGCAAUAUUAUUUAUUAACUAAUUAUAAAACGAUAAGGAUGCAAGUAUUAUUCGAUUUGUAAUAAAUAACUUGGAACAAAUGUCUACUUCUCAAAUGAUGCAACGAAGUGAAUCAUAAAUUAUAUCAUGAUUUAUAUAUAAUAGGUGUAUAUAUAAUAUAUGUACUACCUGAGUAAUUUAACAUUUUGUUAUCACUGCGGGUGAAUUUUUCUUUUUUCUUUACUCCAUCCAAAAAUAAAUUUCUUUUGUACAUUAAUCUCUUUGCCACGCAUACUUGUACCGAGCAAUAAAUGACUGAAAACAAAAUUUAUAAAGGUGUACUGCAUUUUUAUAUGUGAGGAUCCAACAUCUAACCUUAUAACUAAGACACAAUUNNNNNNNNAAGACACAAUUAGGUACACAACCAUAAUAGAGAUGUUUUUUCAGUUAAGUGAAAUUUUUGACAUAUAAGGUGCAGUCCUAUUGUCGUAGGUAAAGGCUGGAAGCAUGCAACUGUCCUAUGGAGUAAUGGAGAUGAGCAUAAUAGGUACAAAGGACAAGUCAUAAAGGUAAAGCCUUCAAACACCAAUAAUGUGUAUGCCGGGUCCCCGAGUCGUUUUGGAUCAGUUAUUUUGAUCUGAAUUAUUCCAGGAAAAAAUCGUUUGAAAUCUAAAACAUUUGGAAAAUUGGGUUUUGGUCAUUAUAAAUAAUUCAUUAUUGAGUUAUUUCUAAUAUUUGGAGGUGAGAUAUUAUUUUAAAUAAUUCGAUAUUUUAAAUAUGUUGGUCUUUUAUUAAUCAAAUACCAUAUGUGAAUUAUAAUUCUUCAGCCAAAUAAAAUAAUUAGAUUUUAAUUUAUUUUACAUAUCAUAAAUAUCANNNNNNNNNNNNNNNNNNNNNNNNNNNNNNNNNNNNNNNNNNNNNNNNNNNNNNNNNNNNNNNNNNNNNNNNNNNNNNNNNNNNNNNNNNNNNNNNNNNNNNNNNNNNNNNNNNNNNNNNNNNNNNNNNNNNNNNNNNNNNNNNNNNNNNNNNNNNNNNNNNNNNNNNNNNNNNNNNNNNNNNNNNNNNNNNNNNNNNNNNNNNNNNNNNNNNNNNNNNNNNNNNNNNNNNNNNNNNNNNNNNNNNNNNNNNNNNNNNNNNNNNNNNNNNNNNNNNNNNNNNNNNNNNNNNNNNNNNNNNNNNNNNNNNNNNNNNNNNNNNNNNNNNNNNNNNNNNNNNNNNNNNNNNNNNNNNNNNNNNNNNNNNNNNNNNNNNNNNNNNNNNNNNNNNNNNNNNNNNNNNNNNNNNNNNNNNNNNNNNNNNNNNNNNNNNNNNNNNNNNNNNNNNNNNNNNNNNNNNNNNNNNNNNNNNNNNNNNNNNNNNNNNNNNNNNNNNNNNNNNNNNNNNNNNNNNNNNNNNNNNNNNNNNNNNNNNNNNNNNNNNNNNNNNNNNNNNNNNNNNNNNNNNNNNNNNNNNNNNNNNNNNNNNNNNNNNNNNNNNNNNNNNNNNNNNNNNNNNNNNNNNNNNNNNNNNNNNNNNNNNCUCUAUAAUUAAAACAUGUAAAAACUAAAAGAACUUGAUUUUUCUGUCGAAAAAAUAAUAUAAUAGAUUCGUAAGGAAAAUUCUACUUAUCAAAUGUUAAUCAAAGUGUUAAACUUUACCCCUUAAUCCAUAAUAUUCCACCCGAAUUAACACAACCUAUGCAAUUCAUCACGUAAAUAACUAAACUAAAUAGCUAAUUACACAAAUCUUGAUUUGACUAAUUUAGUUGGAAGUUAGAAUAGGAUUAGAGACAGAAUAACUGGACAACCUUAACCACCAACAUAAACAGUUUGUGAUUAUAUUCUCAGUUGACCAGCAUCAGACAGAAUCUAACUACAGGAGACUUCAAGCGUGCAUUAAUCACAUUUAUUUAGCAACAAAAACCUUGUCAUUAUGUCAAAUAAUUAAGCAGAAACACACAGAAAAACAUUAAUUAUUCCUUACAAAAAUACACAAUCAAUUAAAAACACAUAAUUUUGUUUAAUUAUCCGUACAAUCUGACAGAGACCACUAAAGGUGUGGUUUAGGCACAUGCCUUGUGUCAUAUCAUUCCCAAACCUCAAAUCAACGGCUCGGCUCCUCCCUGUACGGAACCCAUCAACGGUCCAGAUCUCACACUUUCCCUUCAUAGACUCUGGUCCAUCUUUGAUCGCGUCCCUCUCCUCCAGCAGAUAAAAUAAAAUAAAAUAAAUUCCUCUUCUUCUUCUUCUUCUUCUUCUCUCUCUCUCUCUCUUCUGCAACUGUGUCCAGCUCUCUGUGUCCACCGAGCUCAUCUCUCAAUCGAGAAAGUGAUAGCUCUGCUCCAAGCCAACUAGUUGAGGGGAAAAAGGGGGAAAAGUUUUAAUUUUUUUUCCUCCCUUUCAUUUUCACUAUUGUCUUCACCGCUUCUUUCUACCCUUUGGCUGCUUCUGACUUGUCUCAUGGCGGCAUCGGAAGCCGUGUAGCUGCUUCUGCUGUUAUCAUUACUUACCUUUUCCCCUCGCAGAUUGCUCUGCAAUGGUCAAAGUUUGCGGCUGACUAGCAGAACGAGGAGGAGGAAGUGGAAGAGGAGGAGAAGGAGAUCGCGCUAUCGUUUUGUGCUUGGUUUGAUUUCCAGCUUUCUUCUCCAUUUCCCUUUCUCAGGGAAGCUAAGGUUUUGGAAUUGGGAAUUUGAGGAAGAGGUAAUGCGAAUGUUAGCUGUGAAAUUUCUUCAAAUUUGGAAACAGUUAGUUUCUGGUCAAAUUUUAUAAUUAAAAGAUAGAGGGUGGAGGGAAGGAGAAAAAAGAAGCCGGGAAAGUGGAAGAGAUGAAGCUUUCGACGUCAGGAUUGAGUCAGCAAGGUCAAGAAGGUAUCUUCACUUUAAUUUUUCUGAUUUUUUAAUGUUAGGGUUUAAUAAUUUAAUUUUAUUCUUCACUGAUCCUUGUUUUCCUACUGAGGGUUUCUUUGUUGUGGGUUAUUGCCAUUCAUGGUGGGUUUUUAAGGUUUUCAAAUGUGAUGAUUACAGACUUUUGAAGUGAACCAAAAACAAAUAUCAUCAGCUGUGUCAUUUUCCUUCUGUUGUGUGAAAAAUCCACUACUGCUACUACUGCUGGGUGUUCUUCAUUCCAUUGUGGACAUAAUGAUGCCAGGAGAGAACAAGUGUUUGAAUUCAGAGCUGUGGCAUGCCUGCGCUGGACCACUUGUGUCGCUACCCACAGUGGGCAGUCGUGUCGUCUACUUUCCUCAGGGUCACAGUGAGCAGGUGUGUGCUUACUUUCUACUAUAUCCCCUUUUUCUCACUUCCAUUCCUUUUUUUGGUCCGAGGAAACAUACCGUGGCCUAUCUUGUAUUGCAGGUCGUUGCCACUACCAACAAGGAAAUUGAUGGGCAAAUUCCGAAUUAUCCAAGCUUGCCUCCUCAAUUGAUAUGCCAGCUACACAAUUUGACCAUGCAUGUGAGCUCUAGUUCUGCUCAUUUUCUCAUCUCUUAUAAGUUUUAGCAAUUAGAAGCGAACUAGGAUGUUGUAUUUGGUUGAUUUACCUUUAUACUGUCGAAGUGUGUUAUCGUCAAUUCCUGUUAAGUAUCUGACAAAAGCUUGAAAUGAUGUUCAGGCAGAUGUGGAAACAGAUGAAGUGUAUGCCCAGAUGACAUUGCAGCCUUUGACUGAGGUAAAUUUUGCAUCUUCGUUUCUCAUCGACAUGAGUCCUUCAAUAUGGGACUUAAAGAAGCUUCCUUUGUUAUGUUGGUAGUUUCUUUUGUGGGCUUGCUGUGUCUCAUUAAUAGUUUUUUUAAUGCACAGGAGGAACAGAAGGAUACUUUCCUUCCCAUGGAAUUGGGAAUGCCUAGCAAGCAGCCCACCAAUUAUUUCUGCAAGACGUUGACAGCUAGUGAUACUAGUACACAUGGUGGAUUCUCUGUCCCUCGACGUGCUGCAGAGAAAGUUUUUCCACCAUUGGUAGCAUCUUUGUUACUCUCUGACACGUGAAUGUUUUAAUUUGAGACGGAUGUUCUGUCUUGCUGAAAAUUCUUGUGGCGAUGAUUUUUGCUGUGCAGGAUUUCUCGCAACAGCCACCAGCUCAGGAGCUUAUUGCGAGGGAUCUCCAUGACGUAGAAUGGAAAUUCAGGCAUAUUUUUCGAGGUUGGUAUUUCUGUGUCUAUGAAUAAUAUUCUAACAAUACGUAUGUAGCAAAUUAACAGAGUGGAGACAUAUUUUGGAUAAUUAUAUUGUAUGAAUAGCUGAAAACCAACUAAGCAUUUUGGAGAUUUAUCAAACAGUUUUCUCUGAGAUGAAACCUCUCCCUUUUAUACUGAUUUAACAAGUUGCCAAACUUGUAUAGACUUCUUUUCCGGAGAGGACAACUCACAUUUGCUUAAUUUCUGGCCUAGCUGUCUAUAGGUUAGAGAACUGAGACUAGUAUAGAAUUAUGCAGUUUCUUAAAAGAGUUAUCCUGGUACGUUCUAUUUGUUGCUUGUGAGACAUGAUAUUAUUUUUCAUAUAGAAAUUGGUCCUUCCAAAUGGUUUAUUAAUUAUCUAUUAUCUCUAGUAAAAGGUUACAUUACUUUCUGCCCUUCUUUCAGGACAGCCAAAACGUCAUCUACUUACAACAGGGUGGAGCAUUUUUGUCAGUGCAAAAAGACUAGUUGCAGGGGACUCAGUUCUGUUUAUCUGGUAAUCUUUUGUAGGUCAAUAGAUUCUUGGUGGAUCUUCUCAUUGGGAUCUGUCUAUUUGGCCACUUCAUUGAAUGUUAAUUUUGUCCUAUACCUAACUCUUUCAUUGUGCCACCAGGAAUGAGAAAAAUCAGCUUCUUCUUGGUAUACGCCGGGCUAUUCGACCACAAACUGUAAUGCCUUCAUCGGUGCUAUCCAGUGACAGCAUGCAUAUUGGACUACUUGCUGCUGCUGCUCAUGCUGCUGCAACUAAUAGCUGUUUUACAGUGUUUUUCAACCCAAGGUGUGUUGAAACCACAUUUUCUUUCCUUUACCGUUCAAUUUCAUUUCUGUCUAAUAUUUGGACUUGAUGCAGGGCUAGUCCAUGUGAGUUUGUAAUAUCCCUGUCCAAAUAUGUGAAAGCUGUCUAUCACACACGCGUCUCGGUUGGGAUGCGCUUUCGGAUGCUUUUUGAGACUGAAGAAUCAAGCGUCCGCAGGUAUUGUGGAAGUUGGCUAUGCAUUUUAUUAGUGCAAGGACCGUAGAGUUUCAUUUGGUUGAUAAAGACUGAAAAUUGAUAUCACGAAGUCCAGUUAUAUGUGUAAGUGCCAUGUAGUUGGUUGUUCUUCAGUUCUGGGUGAAAUGGGAUGCCAUGUACUGUCAUUCUUUCAGUUUUUUGUGGAGAUGCAUGUGGUCCUCAUAUUUACCUAAAACUCAGUCCUUAUUUGGUUGGGAAGGAUUUGGUGGAAGGUAUAUACCUUGAGGAAAUUUCCUGUUACUCUCUUAAGCUCAUGAGUUCUGAAUAGCGAUUAUAUCGGGGGUCAGCCUUCACCAAGUUAUUUGUUUGCUCCAAUUCUUCUCUCAUUUGAAGAGCUUUGUUGCUAGGCGCAUGGGUGCCAUAACGGGAUUGGAGAUCUGUCAAGGUAAAUUGGACAUAAUGCAUCUCAUUCUAGGUUUUGUAUCCUGUUUUUCAUGUGAUUAUCCUGACCGUUUUUCCAUUUGGAUGUAAUUAAUUGGCUUUGUUGAUUGCUUCAUAUGAUAGAAACAAGGCAUUUGGGCUUAUAGGGCCAGGACUUGGUCACACAUACCUCUUUAGUCAUUUUUCUCAUUCUGUUUUGUCUAUUGGGAUUCGGGAGUAAAUUCCCUUAAGGGUAUCUGAGAUGGUAUACUUGAGAAAAGCUGAUAACUGAUACCAUAACAUGAUCCACUAUGUGAUGGGAUUUUCUAGAACUUGGUCAUUGGAUGUACCCUUGUCCGAGUUUGAUCUAGAAGAUGUGAGGUUUGGUUCUGAAGCAAUUAAUAGCAUAUGCAAUUAUUGAACCUGUAAUUAUGAUCCAGAAUACAUUAUAUGCUCCCUGAAAUUAUUCGUGCAUAGUAGUUGACAGUAUGCAAUGUGCUCUUUAUAAUUGUCCAUUUCUUUAAGGGACUUGAAUAUUAACAUUUGCCGACUUGCUUAUUUAUGUCAUUCUUCAGUUCUCUUGGUUAACAUCAUAUCUCUACAUGUAGGUUGGGUGGGAUGAGUCAACUGCUGGAGAACGACAGCCUCGGGUAUCAUUAUGGGAAAUAGAGCCUCUGACAACUUUCCCUAUGUACCCAUCACUGUUCCCCUUCAGAUUGAAACGUCCUUGGUAUCCAGGCUCCUCAGCUUUUCCUGGUAAUUAUGUACUUCUAAGUCUAUUUGAUUGUACCUCGCAAGUAGCACUGGCUUACCGAGGAAGGAAAUUUUCUGAGCUCCUAACUGAUUAUUAUAAAUGGUAGUUGCCAUUUGUUGAUAAAAUUGUUCUGCUGUGUCAUGAAUUUAUUCAUUAGGGCUUUUCAUCAAGUGUAUCAAGGACGUAAAUUUGUAUACGAGAUUGAACUCAGUAUAUUAUUAUAUUUCUCACCCUCUGAAAAGAGGUAUAUAUACAAAUAGACUAGCUAGGUUAGAGUAGGAUAACACGCUAACAGCUAGGAAUUGUAUAGGAAAGGAACAAACUACAUGCUGAAAAUCACAGUAAAUCACUACAACCAACAAUUUGUCUUGUAGAUACACCGAGAUACUUCCUUCCAAGUGUAAAUUCCAUAACAAUUAGUCAGGUAUUGGAGUAAGUAUAAGGAUAGCAAAUGAGAGAAUUUAUUUUUCUCAUUCGGCAACUUUGCUGGUGGUCAAAUUGAACCUAGAACUGUAAAAAUCUUGCCUUGAAAGCACUUAAUUAUGUUUUUUCCUUGCUGUACUGCAUGGAAAUACUCGGCUUCUCUUAUUCAAGGAUUUUUCCGCAGAUCCCAGAGACGAAAAUGGUAACAGCCUAACGUGGAUGAGGGGUGGUCCCGGAGAUGGUCUUCCUUCUAUGAAUUUUCAAGCCGUCAAUAUGUUGCCAUGGAUGCAGCAGCAGAGAGUGGAUCCAUCUUUGCUUAGGAACGAUCAAAGCCAGUGGUACCAGGCACUGCUAGCAGCGAGUUUGCAGAGUGCAGGAAAUGGAGAUUCUGUCUAAUAUUUGGACUUGAUGCAGGGCUAGUCCAUGUGAGUUUGUAAUAUCCCUGUCCAAAUAUGUGAAAGCUGUCUAUCACACACGCGUCUCGGUUGGGAUGCGCUUUCGGAUGCUUUUUGAGACUGAAGAAUCAAGCGUCCGCAGGUAUUGUGGAAGUUGGCUAUGCAUUUUAUUACUGCAAGGACCAUAGAGUUUCAUUUGGUUGAUAAAGACUGAAAAUUGAUAUCACGAAGUCCAGUUAUAUGUGUAAGUGCCAUGUAGUUGGUUGUUCUUCAGUUCUGGGUGAAAUGGGAUGCCAUGUACUGUCAUUCUUUCAGUUUUAUGUGGAGAUGCCUGUGGUCCUCAUAUUUGCCUAAAACUCAGUCCUUAUUUGGUUGUGAAGGAUUUGGUGGAAGGUAUAUAUCUAGAGGAAAUUUCCUGUUACUCUCUUAGCUCAUGAGUUCUGAAUAGCGAUUAUAUUGGGGGUCAGCCUUCACCAAGUUAUUUGUUUGCUCCAAUUCUUCUCUCAUUUGAAGAGCUUUGUUGCUAGGCACAUGGGUACUAUAACAGGCAUAAGUGAUCUGGACCCUGUUCGUUGGCCUAAUUCUCAUUGGAGAUCUGUCAAGGUAAUUGGACAUAAUGCAUCUCAUUCUAGGUUUUGUAUCCUGUUUUUCAUGUGAUCAUCCUGACCUUUUUUCCAUCUGGAUGUAAUUAAUUGGCUUUGUUGAUUGCUUCAUAUGAUAGAAACAAGGUAUUUGAGCUUAUAGGGCCUGGGACUUGGUCAUACAUACCUCUUUAGCAAUUCUUGCUCAUUCUGUUUUGUCUGUUGGGAUUCGGGAGUAUGAAAGAUGAAACAUGCACGAUGAGUAAAUUCCCAUAAGAGUAUCUGAGGUGGUAUACUUUAGAAAAGCUGAUAACUGAUACCUUAACAUGAUCCAAUAUGUGAUGGAAUUUUCUAGAACUUGGUCAUUGGUUGUACCCUUGGCCAAGUUUGAUCUAGAAGAUGUGAUAGGUUUGGUGUUCUGAAGCAAUUAAUUGCAUCUUUUGAAAUUAUUGAACCUGUAAUUAUGAUCCAGAUUACAUUAUAUGCUCCUCGGAAUGACUUGUGCAUAGUAGUUGACAGUAUGUAAUAUGCUCUUUAUAAUUAUCCAUUUCUUUAAGGGACUUGAAUAUUAUCAUUUGCAACACUUGCUUAUUUAUGUCAUUCUUCAGUUCUCUUGGUUAACAUCAUAUCUCUACAUGUAGGUUGGGUGGGAUGAGUCAACUGCUGGAGAACGACAGCCUCGGGUAUCAUUAUGGGAAAUAGAGCCUCUGACAACUUUCCCUAUGUACCCAUCACUGUUCCCCUUCAGAUUGAAACGUCCUUGGUAUCCAGGCUCCUCAGCUUUUCCUGGUAAUUAUGUACUUCUAAGUCUAUUUGAUUGUACCUCGCAAGUAGCACUGGCUUACCGAGGAAGGAAAUUUUCUGAGCUCCUAACUGAUUAUUAUAAAUGGUAGUUGCCAUUUGUUGAUAAAAUUGUUCUGCUGUGUCAUGAAUUUAUUCAUUAGGGCUUUUCAUCAAGUGUAUCAAGGACGUAAAUUUGUAUACGAGAUUGAACUCAGUAUAUUAUUAUAUUUCUCACCCUCUGAAAAGAGGUAUAUAUACAAAUAGACUAGCUAGGUUAGAGUAGGAUAACACGCUAACAGCUAGGAAUUGUAUAGGAAAGGAACAAACUACAUGCUGAAAAUCACAGUAAAUCACUACAACCAACAAUUUGUCUUGUAGAUACACCGAGAUACUUCCUUCCAAGUGUAAAUUCCAUAACAAUUAGUCAGGUAUUGGAGUAAGUAUAAGGAUAGCAAAUGAGAGAAUUUAUUUUUCUCAUCCCGCAACUUCGCUGGUGGUCAAAUUGAACCCAGAACUGUCAAAAACUUGUCUUGAAAGCACUUGAUUAUGUUUUUUCCUUGCUGUACUGCAUGGAAAUACUCGGCUUCUCUUAUUCAAGGAUUUUUCCGCAGAUCCCAGAGACGAAAAUGGUAACAGCCUAACGUGGAUGAGGGGUGGUCCCGGAGAUGGUCUUCCUUCUAUGAAUUUUCAAGCCGUCAAUAUGUUGCCAUGGAUGCAGCAGCAGAGAGUGGAUCCAUCUUUGCUUAGGAACGAUCAAAGCCAGUGGUACCAGGCACUGCUAGCAGCGAGUUUGCAGAGUGCAGGAAAUGGAGAUCCUAUGAGGCAACAAUUUAUGCAGUUUCAGCAUCCUUUGCAGUAUCAACAGCAGCCAACCACCAACUACCCAAUAUUGCAGCAAGCACCUCAGCAGUCUGUUCCUCAUAAUAUUCUUAGCUCACAUAAUCAAGUUUCCACGGAUAGCUUGCCUCAGCAAAUCCUUCAACAGCAGCAGGAGCCGAGUUAUAAUGACUCGAUUCCGAGACAAAAUGAUCAGCUUCACGGAGGGCCGUCAAGUGUGCAUUCUCCAAAUUUCUCAAAACCCAACUUUAUCGAUUCGAGCACCAAAUUCAUAGGUGGGUCUACAGUCACUGUUCAGAACAUGUUGGGGUCUCUGUGUACCGAAGGCAGUGGCAACCUUUUGGACCUGACAAGAGCUGUUUCGUCUUCUGAACAUCUAAACCAAGAAACCUGGGUUCCGAAAUAUUCGCAUGCCCAAGUCAAUGCCUUUACCACUCCGACGACACACCAACACCAAUUUCACGACAAAGAUCAUGCACCAGUACCAAAACCAGGAAACUGUAGCACGGAAGCUCUGAAUCCAAAUACCUUUGGCAUGAACAUUGAUUCAACUGGACUCCUCUUACCCACCACUGUACCGAGAGUUGCUACUACUUCUUCAAGCGAUCCUGACGUGUUGUCAAUGCCUUUAAGCGUGGCUGGGUUUCAGAAUUCUCUCUACAGUUCUUCUGAGUUCUUACCCGGUACAGGAGGGCAAGUAGAGGCGCUAAACGCAGGUCCAAUAUUUGUGAAGGUUUGAAAUCUCGGGGUGGAUUUCUUCUCUUAUCAACAGUUGAGUUUUCCUAGUAAGUAUCUUUCUUGCUUCUUAUUGAUGUUGUUCUGCUACAGGUUUACAAAUCUGGAUCGGUUGGGCGGUCCCUUGACAUCUCCCGGUUCAGCAGCUAUCAUCAGCUGCGGGAGGAACUGGCACAGAUGUUCGGGAUCGAGGGGAAGUUGAAAAACCCUCAUAGAUCGGGCUGGCAGCUUGUAUUUGUCGACAAGGAGGAUCUAACUGAUUAUUAUAAAUGGUAGUUGCCAUUUGUUGAUAAAAUUGUUCUGCUGUGUCAUGAAUUUAUUCAUUAGGGCUUUUCAUCAAGUGUAUCAAGGACGUAAAUUUGUAUACGAGAUUGAACUCAGUAUAUUAUUAUAUUUCUCACCCUCUGAAAAGAGGUAUAUAUACAAAUAGACUAGCUAGGUUAGAGUAGGAUAACACGCUAACAGCUAGGAAUUGUAUAGGAAAGGAACAAACUACAUGCUGAAAAUCACAGUAAAUCACUACAACCAACAAUUUGUCUUGUAGAUACACCGAGAUACUUCCUUCCAAGUGUAAAUUCCAUAACAAUUAGUCAGGUAUUGGAGUAAGUAUAAGGAUAGCAAAUGAGAGAAUUUAUUUUUCUCAUUCGGCAACUUUGCUGGUGGUCAAAUUGAACCUAGAACUGUAAAAAUCUUGCCUUGAAAGCACUUAAUUAUGUUUUUUCCUUGCUGUACUGCAUGGAAAUACUCGGCUUCUCUUAUUCAAGGAUUUUUCCGCAGAUCCCAGAGACGAAAAUGGUAACAGCCUAACGUGGAUGAGGGGUGGUCCCGGAGAUGGUCUUCCUUCUAUGAAUUUUCAAGCCGUCAAUAUGUUGCCAUGGAUGCAGCAGCAGAGAGUGGAUCCAUCUUUGCUUAGGAACGAUCAAAGCCAGUGGUACCAGGCACUGCUAGCAGCGAGUUUGCAGAGUGCAGGAAAUGGAGAUCCUAUGAGGCAACAAUUUAUGCAGUUUCAGCAUCCUUUGCAGUAUCAACAGCAGCCAACCACCAACUACCCAAUAUUGCAGCAAGCACCUCAGCAGUCUGUUCCUCAUAAUAUUCUUAGCUCACAUAAUCAAGUUUCCACGGAUAGCUUGCCUCAGCAAAUCCUUCAACAGCAGCAGGAGCCGAGUUAUAAUGACUCGAUUCCGAGACAAAAUGAUCAGCUUCACGGAGGGCCGUCAAGUGUGCAUUCUCCAAAUUUCUCAAAACCCAACUUUAUCGAUUCGAGCACCAAAUUCAUAGGUGGGUCUACAGUCACUGUUCAGAACAUGUUGGGGUCUCUGUGUACCGAAGGCAGUGGCAACCUUUUGGACCUGACAAGAGCUGUUUCGUCUUGGCAUGGACAUUGUUUCAACUGGACUCCUCUUCCCCACCACUGUACCGAGAGUUGCUACUACUUCUUCAAGCGAUCCUGACGUGUUGUCAAUGCCUUUAAGCGUGGCUGGGUUUCAGAAUUCUCUCUACAGUUCUUCUGAGUUCUUACCCGGUACAGGAGGGCAAGUAGAGGCGCUAAACGCAGGUCCAAUAUUUGUGAAGGUUUGAAAUCUCGGGGUGGAUUUCUUCUCUUAUCAACAGUUGAGUUUUCCUAGUAAGUAUCUUUCUUGCUUCUUAUUGAUGUUGUUCUGCUACAGGUUUACAAAUCUGGAUCGGUUGGGCGGUCCCUUGACAUCUCCCGGUUCAGCAGCUAUCAUCAGCUGCGGGAGGAACUGGCACAGAUGUUCGGGAUCGAGGGGAAGUUGGAAAACCCUCAUAGAUCAGGCUGGCAGCUUGUAUUUGUCGACAAGGAGGAUGAUGUUCUUCUCCUUGGAGACGGUCCUUGGGAGUAAGUAAAUAGAACCUCUGCAAAAUCUGUUUUUUUUCUCCUUCCUCCGAACAUGUCCUGAAAUUUUAUGAUGUGAAAAUUAACUCAUGAUGCAGCGCAUUUGUAAACAACGUGUGGUAUAUCAAGAUACUUUCUCCGGAGGAUGUAGUGAAGAUGGGGGAUCAAGGGGUUGAAUCGUUCAGCCCGAAUACACGCCAAAGAACGAUCAGCAGCAGGGAACCGGACUUUAGCUCGGGUUCACUUAGAUACUGAUAAAUUCCAGAAAAGCUCCGGAUGGAAAGCUCUCAAUAGUCGAUCCUUAUGUUUACAUGAACAAAUAAAACAUUGGCUGCUCCCAGCUAAAGUUAUUAUUAGUUGAUUCCACUAAAUUGUACGUACAUGAUCAUAUCCUCUUGUGUUUAGUGUUCAAAAUUAUCAUUAAUCAGAAACCAGUUCAGAUUGUACUUGCCAAUACUGUUGUAUCUGUGAUUCUAGUUAUCAAGGCUUUGAAAUACAGUACCGGCUGGUCUUACCGGGCGAACCAGUAUACAUUUUUGGCUUCUUAAUGUCUAAAUCUGUAGGCUGCUGUUUCCCUGAUGACACUAUGAAUCGCUCUGUUGUUUAGAAAGAAAACCAUAAUUUGUUGGCAAAAAAUACAGUCGUCUAAUUCAUCAGCGAAACACUAGUAAUGUAAACUGAGCUAAUUCGUGUUUGUUAUCAAACCCAUAUUUGUUCCUAUGAGAUAGUUUUGUCAAUCUCGCUUCAACGCCUUUGUGAUGAACGCUCUUGUAAUUACAAUGGCAAUGUAAGCCAACACAGUUACAGCGAUUCCCGCUAGUAAAAUGAUCCUAUCAAAAUUAGCAUCCUGUACUUCGUAUACCUUCAGACCGAUCACGUCCCAGUAGCUCUCCGUCCAAACCGGGUCCGCCUUAGCCAUGGGAUCCGAUGAAUUUAGAGGCAUGACGGUCCAUACCCCAGAAUCGUAUUUCAACCUGGUUGAAUAGGCCGGUACGUACCUGCAGCAAGCACAAACAAACCCGGGAAUUCUCGUAUAUCUGAACAAGAACUGCUGGCAGCCAGAUUGCAGGAUUCACAUGCAUGUUUACCUGGUUGUGGAAGUAACGCAAACACCUUCAGUUUCUGCUUUGACGCACACUUCAUCUUUCUUGCUGCAGUCUUGUGAGCAGUUAGAUUUACUGUUUUCCUUGAGCAUAGAUGUUUUGUCAGCCAGGAAGUUCCAAAUGAACCGGCAAACAUCGUUAAUGGAUCCAGUAUCGGGAGCCGCAGAAGGCUCCCCUUGGAAUACGCCGACAUAAUGAACAGGGCAUGUUGUGGUCGUGGAAAUAUAGUUCGUCACCAGAUCACAAGACAGACCGGGAUCGCACUUCAACAGACAACUCAACAUCUCUUCCACCAGGGAGGCAUUAACAUUGAUGGAGUUCAGAACAGAGUUCUUUAUAUUUUUGUUCUUGUUUGCAAGGAUGUAAAGGGUCCGAGCAACUAGAGAUGCAGCUGCGACGAUUGAUGAUGAGUUUAUGUUUGCUGCAUUCAAUGAAUAGAGAAGAUAUGCAUUAGUGUUAUCAGAGCAUCUUGGAUCCUGUUACUUGUUUCAAUAAUCUGAGAGCAGUAGACCACUAACUAGUUCAUAAAGAUGACAGUGAACAUUAAUCAACUUACAGUUAUCAUCAAGAUGACUAUGGUAAAAAUUGUUGCGGAAAGCAGCAUCAGUCUUCCAACACAAAACCAGAGGUUGAUGAGUUCUGCAGGAACAGAGAAGAUAUGGUUCAUUGCAAGGGAAAUGAAAAGGAAAUGGAUAACUGGGAGCGAGUUAUUUACUCUAUAAAGAUGGAGUAAAAUAACGAUCAACACUGCAUAUAAUGGCACACAUGAAAUACACAAGUUCACUGUAUUUAACCUUUUUAAAAAAUGACAUCAGGGAUGAUGGUGGUAUUCCAGGGUUUGAUGUGCUUGCCAAUGAAACUGAAAUAUUCUGCGACUCCAGAGAAAUUUGAGCAUGUUUUAAAGCACUCAAAGUUGUGUUUUCGGCAGAUGAAACCUGCAUUAUAAAAUGAGAAACUAUGAAACCUAUUACCACAGAGACGUUUGUGUAGAAAACAAAGGAUUCAUACCCCAGUGGUGUGAGCAAAGAAGCUUUUGGUCCCUUGAUUGAAGGCCUUCCCGACUGAUCCAAUUUCAAUUACCUUUACAAAAAACAUAGACCAUUUUCAAACGUUGAUUGCCAAGGCACUACACAAGCAAACUCUCAAGUCUCAAUGCAUCAUUAGGUUAUGAGUUUAUGGUUUUUAGGUCUAUAAAUGAUCGUUAGGCUUUGUGCAAGAGAAUACCGUCUCAAUCAGUUGGUUGUCAAGGCCAGUAACAGCAUUUGACUGCAAAUCAAGUUCAAGCAAGAAUCGUCUACUACCAAGGUACCCCCAUGCUUCUCCAGUAAAAACUGCAAAAACAAGCUGCAAGAAAAGUCUAAAAUGAUCAAAAAUAAUUUGGAAACGUGUAAUGGUUAGAACAUACCUUAAGAUAUGAGUGUAAACUGGAGCCAACUUAUGAACUCAGUUUAAUGAUGAUUAACCAAAAAAUAUUGGUGGGAUCAAAUAAAGAUUUACAAGUCAUACUGUAGUGUGUGGAGAUGUCAAGCUGACAGUGACAUACCUGUUUUUCAAGAUCGCCUAAACCAUCCACUUGAGAAAGUGAAUCAACUGCUGCAAGCAAUGCAAUCAACCCCUAGAAGUGGAUGAAGAUGAGAACAGCAUGGAAUUUGUGGGAACAAAUUUUACAGGCAACUCAAAGGACUUUGACUAACCGUGAUUGGGGAUUCUGCACCUAAGCUUUUGUCAUGGAAGAACGAAGCAGCAUCCAUAGAUGCUACUGUUAAUAUAGCUGGCUUCGGUUUGUUAGAGGAUGAUAUAUUGAUUGGAGGAAGCGAUGACCAAACACUGCCCUUCAUAAGGGAGAUGCAUAAUUAAAGUUUGACUUAGCUCACUCUUAAAUUAUUUAACAGGUUUAGCGUGUUCCAGCAACAACAUCCAAUUCAUUCAGGUUCCUGACACUGAAUAGCUGGGAUGAAAAGAAAACUGCAGAUACCAAAAACAGUACACUGUAAAUGGAAUCCAGUUUGAUGCUUGGUUCAACACCAACUAAAUAAGAACACACAUUUAGAGAAAACAACAUCCUACGAGCUAUUAGAUGGGAACCGACUUACCUAGGAGCUUUUCACUCUGAAAGCAAUCUUGUAUUCAUAAUGAUUUUUGUAGGUAAAUAUCUAUUGACCGAGUAAGGACUGGAUCUCAGGACCUGGGACCUUGCCCAAGCCCGCCCGGCCCCAUCUACCACCGCAAAUAACUUCUGCAGGUUUGUUCCAUAUGAGCAUUAUACUACCGGUAUAUGAUUAAGCAUUGAAAUGCUAGAAGCAUUACUGUGUGAGACUGCUCUUGAAUUUGCUCGAAAGUUUUCAUUACUAAAAGACUGCUAUUAGAUAUGGAUCAAUCAAUUAAUUUUUAUCAAUGAGUAGUCAUAAGUUAAUUACUACUUCAUGGGAAAGAAUCAGUUAAUAAGAACCACUAUAGGGCAUGUCCAAUGCUCACACGCAUACAAGGUAGGAGCAAGCAUUAGUAAGGAUAAGAUACAAGUUCCCUCCUUCGGAAUGUAAGAAGUAAAGAUAACCAGAUAUAUCAUAUCUAACCUGUAUCCUCCCAAUGGAAGGCAAGUACCCUCUUGUAAACAAGAUUCUGAAUCACGCGUGCCGUAUUUUGUUGUCUGGCAAGAUGAAUUUUUUAGUACAUAGUGUCAGUACAUAUUAUUUUCGAAACUUAUUCAGAUAGUAUACAUAAAUAAUUUUUUCCAAAUAUGCUGAAGCAAUGAAACCAAGUACCUGCAUCACCAAAUCAAAUUCAGCCAUGUUUGAAGUAUAACCUUUGCUAUUCUUCUCAUUCUUCAAAGAAAUCUGCAUGAAAAUGCAAGAGUACUAGUUUAAAAAAAUGAAUCCACGUCACCAGACAGAAGGGAAAAACUGUAUCCCAUCUCAAACCACUUUUACAAGGAUCGGAUGUAACUGAAAUAAUUCCUGCUCAACGAGUCUAAAUAAUUAGAUCUCAUGUUCUAUUAGCUUUGCAAACUAACAGUUUGAAAAAAGAAAAAUAAUUCAUCGUAAAACCACAACAGUAAGAAAUGGGCCUCUGAAAUACGGCACCAGGAAGAACAAAACUACACCCCAAACUUAUGGACUAUGAUGGAAACCACAGCAGGAGGCAUCAUAUCCAAAAGAGAAUCCAUUCAUAAUAAUGAAGAAAUUCAUCUGUUAUUUUGCUGGAGAAGUAUUGGUGUUACCUCUUUCAUGAUCUGUGUGCUAUUCUCAGUCAGUAAGAAGAUUGGAAAAUCAUAAUUUUUCCACAUUAUACCAGAUCCCUGUAAAGAGGCAUGACGAUAUAAUCCCAAGUCAACAAGAUCUGAUAAUAAUACACAAGAAUUUGCAGCAAGCGACAAGCAAUGAUUUCCAAGAAUACUCAAAGUCCGGAUUCAAAGUUCUGUAUCCUUUUGAGUCUGAAGCUAAAUACAGUAUAUGUCAUGAAGGAGCAUUAAUUCAAGUACUUCUAGAGUUAGCUGUAUCAGAUCAUUAAAAUGUGAAAGAGAGCACACUCAUGUCAAUUCCAGACUUUAAGAUCUGUACUGAUGUACCCCAAAAAUCACCCCAUAUAUGAAGAAAAUGCUCUUGCAAAACAAUCUCGAGUUCAUAAUACCCACCCAUUAGAUGAACUAUUUGACGAAAAUAAAAUAUCUUAGGCCUGUCCAAGAUGAAUGGUAACCUCGCAGGUUAGAGGCUUAAAUUAAGGCAGUAGAUUGAGGACUCUGAUAAUUAACUAUUCUAGCUGCAACGUAAAAGAAAAAUCAGGAUACUCGUUACUCGUUAUGCAUACCAUAGGAUUCCACUCGUAAUCGGUCUUCUGAUAAGGGGAAAAUUCAGCUUGUGGGAACUUGUAAUCGGGAGAGAAUCCUACAAGCAAAACAAACCCACGGUGUUAAACUAACCACGAUGCCAAAAAACCUUAUGUCCUAUCAAGAGGUUCACACUAGCAGAAAAUGCAUAUUCACCUUUCAGUUUGCUGCGAGUAUCAGCUCCAGAUUGAACUAAAAUACCACCAAUGUUCUUUGAAAGCGCCGAGUCUUUCGAUAUUCUGCAGAAAACACAAAAUUCUAGUAGUGUGAUCAUAAAGGGACAGAAACUGGGAUGAAUAGCUGAAUAUACUACAGCAUUCUUGAAUAGAUACCGAUUGAAACCCUAACUAACUUAUUGCUCCUACUAGCAUCACCCUAAUACAUAAACUAAGGAGAAAAACAACGUGAACAACAGCAAACCCAGGGUUCCUACCUAUCAAAGAGUUCACCAAUUCCAUCGAGCGAGACCAGAACAGCCGAAGGAAGACCCAAAUCAAGACCAGCCUGAUAUCUCACAACGGGAGCUACAACCUUGUCUCUCCCGGGAUCUGCCAGCACGGGGUGGAAACAAAAUCGUCAAGAAAUGAAGCAUUUCAUCGCAGCAAGGUGGCCCAGUGAAAGAGAACUGGAAAGCAAAAGAGUUUGAAGUGUGAUGUUUAUCUUACUAGCACAGCCUAUUUCUCCAGAAAGAUUGAGCAGUCGAACGCAGGGUAAGCCAUCGACGACCAUGUACAUCGAAUUCUGCAGAUCAGGAACAGACUCCAUUGAUUUCACUUGUCCGGAGAUUCCGCGGAUGCAUCUCGACAGCAGUAGAAACACUACUAACGAGAAGUAGAGCUUCAUCGGGAGCAGAAGGAGCAGAGCAUAGGCGUUUGGGAAGAAAAUGCGACUGAUGAAAGGAGCUGAGAAAUUGGGGUUCCUCCCUUAAGCCGAGCCGAGCCGAGCCGAAUCAGCAUUUUCUGUCGUUUUCUCCUUAUUGCAAAACGACUGCGAUCCAAAUGUUUCCCCCCCAGUUCUUAAGUGCAAACAAGUCUAAUUGGGCGGGGAAUUGCAUUCCUUGUCUAAUUACGAUAAUAUCAUCGAUCCAUAAGUUUUUAGGAAUUUAAUUUGAAAUUUUUGCUAUAUGAAAGAAUUCAUUUAGAAUUUUAAAUUGGAAAUUAUAUGAAAUUGAAAUUAGAUAUAGCAAUUUUGAGGGAUUGAGGUGGAAUUUUGAAAUGAAUUCCACAAGAAUUCUACUAAUCAUUUUUCGUAAAGUAAUUAGUCAUUCGUAAUUAGUUACUUUAUGAUUUAAAUUCCACAAGUAACUAGUUACAAAUGAUUGUUACUAAUAAUGUUCGUUUAUUUGUAUAUUGUGAUUAGAUUCAAACUAAAUACUACCAACUGCGCUAUUUUAAUUAAAAAAUAAUUACAAAUUACUUAUAAAAAACUUCGUUUGUGAGGUUGAAAAUUCGAUGAAAAUUUAUCUUAUUGUUUUGUUCGGAAAAUAAAAAAAUGAAAUGGAAGUUAUUUUUUUCAUUCACCUCUCAAACAAUACUUUCUAUCAAUUCUAUCAAUAAAUGCCCUAACUAAUACCUACCUUCAUCUCAAUCUCACAAUCUCAAUCUCAAUACUUUCUUCUUCUUUAGUUCCAUAUAUGACUUUUCUUCUGCUGACCUUCAAUUCAUCCUCCAUCUUCAUCCUUAAUUCUUCUUCAUUCUAAUCAAUCUGCCUUAUCGUACAAUGUCCCCCCGUUUCCUUGGCCCGCAAGCUUUCAACAAAUAUUACCGGGACACGAGUACAGAGUACUAUCUCCUUCUCCGGCGACGCACCAAAGCACUUACCUCCACGUCCUUCACUUUUCCACAAGUGAUCACCGGUCGACGUGGGUACUCUCUCAGCCGUGUAAUCAAAGCCCGCGAACUCGAACUCGAACCCUUCUUCCCCUGGCUGCUCGCAGUUUCUUGCGGAGCAAGAAACGUGGUGGCAGAGUCAUUUCCGUUUCUGCUGACGCGGAUCAGAUUCCCCAGUUGAUUGGAAAUGCUCCGAAUUUCAUGGGAAUCCAGUAGAGAAUAAUCACGGCGUGGAUCAUGCGGCGUACUUGUACCUGCUGCUGCUGAUCUCAUAGCUUCCACCAUGUACCUGCUGGAUGGCCUGGCUGCAGGCUUGAUUAGUGUAGCAGCCACAUCGAAUUCGGCCACCGGAGGUUUCCCUUCUGAUGAGCCGGAACCAUGUUGAUACCACGCCCAUGCCGCAGCUUUCACCAUAGCCAAGUUGUUGUUGUUGUUGUUGUUUUUAUCAUCAUCGUCAUCAAUGCUCUGCAUUUUCCAGCUUCUCCCUAUUAACCCACCCAACAACAGCCAUGAAGAAGGCAUGAUGAUGAGUUGCAAAUGGAGAAAGAGGGAAGAAACUAUUGAGAUCAGUUUCUUAUAAUUAUAAAAGUUACAAUAUGGGUUCAUCCUAGAGUAGUUGUUUCUUGUCAGAAGUUGGAUGGAUGGUAUGAAAAUAAAUGAAUAAACGUGUUUCUGUCGCAAGCCAUAAGUUUGAUCAUCUAUAUAUGUCGGUCCAAGUCAGGGGACCUCUUUCAGUGUGAAAAGAUAUUCUCAUAUUAAUUUGCCAACUUAAUUAAUUAGCCCCCCAAAAUUCAUUACUAAAACAAAUAUCUUGCAAGAAAAGAAAUACAUAAUUUUGCUAGGCGGCUCAUCAAGCAAGCAAGCAAGCUUGACAUUUAUUUAGUUAUAUUUUCGGUUGCAAACUCCAAAUGAAAUUAAGAUAGGACAACAACACAAACACAAGAUUCAUAUAGAAAUAUCAUAUAUAUAGGCACACACACUCCUCCCUGAUCAUCAUCAGCUUGAUCUUUAUUCAUGUAGAUAGUAGUAGUAGUAAUCCGCUUGAUAUUUAAUUAUGAUCAGGGUCUUGAUCAAGUAGCAAUUACAGGCUGCUCUCUUCAACUUGAUAGUCGACAUGGGUGGCUUCACCUUCAUAAAGGCCGUCCACCUUCUUAGAGGCAACAAGUGUACCAUCAUGAAUCACGUCGCGCUGGGUGUAGGUGAAGGGAAGCUGGAUUUUGGCCCUAGACACCGUCAUGUGGACAAAAGAUUGGGUUCUGGGCGGCACCUGUAGUGUCAAGCUUGUCGACAUCUCGCUCUCCUCCACUUUCGUCUCCCCUGCCACAUGCUCUCCCUGAUAUCCUGCUUCCACCUCCAGGCUCACCGUUGUCUCCGCUCGGAUGAACUUGAGCACUGGAAGCCGAGCAGAUACAGUGGAAGUGAUGCCAUAUUGUACCCCUACCUGCAGCCAGGAAAUUGUUCAGGGCAGUCCAACCAAACAUAUGUAUGGUCCUAUAUUAAUUAAUUCCAACCAAACAUAUGUAUGAUCCUAUAUUAAUUAAUUCAUUAAUCCAAACCUAGCUACCUAGCUAGCUAACUACCUGCCACGAGUGUGUCGUCUCCCAAUGGUUGCUCUGAUACUCUGAGUACCUGAACGCCAAGUGCGCCUCUUGAGUGGACACCUUAGACCCGUUGACAACAUUCUUGGUCAAAACAGCCACCGGUGUGGGCUCCAAUAUCUUCAUGUCGUCGUAUAAGAACUGGAUGUUGGAUAGCUGUCUGGACCGUACCGUGUCCUCGAUUAGGAACUCAGCCUGAGCUACGAUGCCAACAUCUCCGGGCGAGACAAUGAACCCGUUGUCGGUAUCCCUCCUCACCAUAAAAUGGCGAAAGAGGUGGGACACAUUUCUAAAGGCAACAGCAGCAAGGCCAGAAAAAUCGAGUGUAACGGGCUCAAGGGCCGCCGUACGCCAAUCAUUUCUAUUACUGGAAGCUUGAUAGACGCCGCCAAUCCCCCUGACAAGAUAGGCAUCAGGGAGAGUCAUGGGGACGAGGACCACAGAACGGAGUCGAGCAGGGACCACCCGAAACUGUGCUACCCGAUCCCGUCGGUCAUUACUUGUGAACAUAGCCCGAUGCACGGCUUGACCAGUUGUAGUAGUCGCCCGAACUACCUGCAGGUAUCGGUUGUUGUCGGCUUUAAAGCAGACUAGGGUGGGCAGAGUUGGGAGCAUGUCUAGAUCGGACUGGCCAAAUCUUGCGGAAAUCACGGCCAUCGGGUUCGGUCUUGGUAUACCGUCAUCGACGCGCAACCAAAUCCCAUCGUGCAUGCUACGCACGUAUUCGGCAUGAAGCGUCCACAUCCGGUUGUUGUACUGUAUCUCCAGAGCAUUGUUGGAGAUCCUGAACAAAGUGCACGACCACUUGGAGAUGUCCUCCUCAUGUUCAUCCGCAGCGGCCUCUAUACUGGGGUUGUUUGGAUCUUCGGAGGCCCUGCACAGGUACUUUUGGGUGUAACUACUCUUUAGGUGCACCAUCCCUCCUCCUAUGCCUGCAGCCUCCGCUUCUAAUUUUGCAUACGGGUUCCAUAUCCCCUCGUCGACUGACCUGCUCGUCAAUGUACCUUAUAAUCCACUCCCGAAAUACAUAUCCCGUUAGGUAGGAAAGAGACAGAUCACAGAGUAUUAGUUCAACAAAAUUUUGUACCGAAAAAUAUGGACCGGUGCUUGUGACCAGUUGAUGCAUGUGGUGUCGCAAGGAUCUGCAUCGUAAACGAAGAGGGUUGGCCAAAAUUGUCAGUAAAAUUAUCAUUCCGAGUAAGAAACGUCAGGAACCGGGGUGAAGAAGCAGACGACAUGUUUCUUAUAUUUUUGUGUGUUGAAGAAAGGAUUUGCAAGGGGGGCUCAAUUUAUAACCAGUUACUGUGUAGUAGUGUGCUGGUUUAUGUAUGCUAAUGUCCAGGGAUGCAGCUAGCUGUGAUGAGUUAGAUCACAUUUAAGAUCGGGUGCUGGCGGUGGAUACCUGAUAGUAUGAAUAAAAUGUGGAGUUAGGUGUUUUGGUAGUGUCUAUGUCUGUCCAAGUUAGGGAUCUCUGCCACCAAACCCCCCAAUUCAUUCAUAGUAUCAACUUCUGACUUCUAGUGGAGUGUUCUCUAACUAAUUAGAGAAGCAAUUCUUCGGACAUAAGUAACCUUUUCACGAAUGUUUAUUAUAUUGAUUGGGAACGUCUAAUACGUUGUCAAUCGAUUCUACUAUCUCCUGUCUCGAAUCAAUUCAAACGUGAUUUGGUGUUUGUACAGUUGCAUAAGUUUCGAGAUUCAUUAAGACAAGGAACCCAGGGCUAAUCAGGGUUUGGUACCCUUGUGACGAGAAAUUUCAGCUUCAACACGCCUGAUUUCAUCGUUAAGCUCUUCCAAAGUGGCUGCUGAUUUCGAUUUAUCACCAGACAGGCGCUUCAAGCAAGACAGGUACUUCGCCUUUACUUCAGGGAAGUCAGAAAUCGAUUUCUCAGCUUCGAACUGCAAAAGGAUAUUAAAAGGUUAACCUCAGAGUCAGUCAUAUGUUACGGUUUCUACCUCGUGAAUGUUGUUGGCAACAUAAUUCAUACCUCUUUGUACACAGAAAUGCACCGAGAAAGUGCAGCCUCGGCAGCAGGUGAAUACUUCUUCUGCCAAAUUAGGACAGAGCGACAUUAGUGGAUCAUACUUGAUUCCAACAAGAUCGACAUAAUACCAUCUUGUCAGGAAAAGAUGAAAUUGCUUCGCUUGCCUGCUACUCACCUCUUUUUCCUGUAACUCUUGCUGUUUGAUCUCCAAAAGGCCAAGAAAUUCGAGUGAUUGCAGCUGCAGAAAACAACACAGCUUAUAAUCGUGUUUAAAUUCUAACACCAGGAAUCUGGCUGUGAAUAAACAACAUAAUUGCAGCACCUUAGAACCAAGCUAAGGAACUUGUCAUGGAUGAAAGGGAUCUAAUUUGUGCAUGUACGAAGCUAAAUAGGAAUAAGAAAGAAAAGCCAUGCAGCCAUGGCAUCAUGAUGAUAUAUCUUCUUUGUUUUUCCCUAUUCUUUUGGAGGCAGCGGAAGAGAAGGAAACUAACCAGUGUUAUCAAGGCCACGCGUCCUUCCCGUCUACUUCCUUCAGUUGAUCCAUGUUUUUGUCUACUUCCAGUUGGCUUUCUGAUUCUGUCCAAGACUUUUCGUGAUAUCCUAUCAUCCAUCAAACCGGAAGAAAAUUUUGAAGAACAUGCAGAAUAAAUAACGAACUUUAACUUUAAUGGAUGGACCAAUUUGGACCGUGAACCGGUUAUCAAGUCGGUAUAGUACAAUCACAAUAUGAUCAUGGUUUAAGGUCGAUCAAAUUACAAUGAUUAAACAUUAUUAGCUUAUACAGUUAGCCUCGCGAUUCGAUCUCCGCUCCUGUAACAGAUUUGUAUAUCAGUAAAUUAGGACAAACCUCAAUACCUAAUGGAUUUCUUCAAGAGAUUGUUUGCCUUUUCUAGUUGAUGGACUGCUUCCGAACGACUGACGUUGCUUCGUGAAUCCAAAUUUUCCAGCACUGCCCUCGCCAGUUGAGCCAUGGUGGCGGCAUUCUGCAUACAAGAAAAAAAGAAGCUUCAGUCUGCAUGCAUUGUAUAGAAUAUAAUAAACGACAACGCUUUAGAGAAACACGUAUCAAAAUUCAAAUAGAGCUUCUUUAGUUGACCAAUAUGAACAUUUAAAAUGGAUUACACUUCGGCCGGAGAUAUCAGCAACACGGCGGCGGAUGCUAACGGUUAUUGACUGCCUGUUUCCCGCCACUAUGUCCUCUGCUUCUUAUAAGAGGAUAAAUAAAUAGGCAGAACGUCCAAAGUUUUAUCCGUUGGAACACCAGUAGUUUCCGACAUCUCUAGAUUUCUCAAGCACCAGAACUGAACCAGUCUGGUGCUCGAGAAAUCCUGGGCCAAAACUACUUACCCCCAAUCGCGGCGGUGGUUUUAUUAAUUCGGAACGAAGAUGGAUUCCAAUCAAAUAGUACCAACCCAAGGCGAAAACCCAUACGAACUUGACACAGAUGCAAUCGAGAGGUUUCUCAAGAGUCCCGAUCUCAUAUAUCCCACUGGAAAUAACUCAGGACUCAAGAUCGAACUGGCUUCGGACCCUACACAAACAAGCGUAGUUGAUGUUCCUGACCCUGAUGAUCCCAUGACAUGGAAUCUUGAUUUCUGCUUAGAGUUUCCAGACGAAAUAAUACCAUGUCAGGGGACAACGACCAUGGGUGUGGAUCAGUUGGGAUCAGUUGAUGAUUCCGGCGACAAGUGUAAGGAAAAAUCUCCGGCGGGAUUGGGUUCACCGUCAGAUUAUGAAACACAGAGGCCGUACUAUUGGUACUAUGAAGAUACGUCAAUUCCAGGAGGGGAAAUGGAAACAGAAGAAGUUCCAUUAGUCAGCGUCAAUGCCAAUACGUUGAAUGCAGCGCUUCCACAGCCUUUCAACUGCAGUUUCUGUCAAGUUUUGAGAGAAAUCGUGCACUCAGAUGGUGGUAUAUGCUUCUUCUCCUCCUUCAUCUUUCCUCUCUGUUCGGUUACAUUCUUCAGUAAUGCAAAAUGUUAUAAUUGUGUGAAUAAUUUUGUAUUUCUUUCCGGUGGUGGUUGGCAGGGAGGAUAACCACUAAACUUGAGAUCCUUGGGAAUGUGGGCAUGAUUUUCCAUGCCAUUCUAGAGAGCCACCAAUAUUUCACAGAUUGCCCACUGGAGUCUUACUUCCAAAUUUUCGAGUCAGUACUCCCCUUUUAGAAGACAGUUGAUUAGUAAAUUAAGUGUCUUUUUUGUGGGGUGUUAAGAGUCUAAUGUUGCAUUAUAUCUCAAUGUCCGCAGUCUUACCGGCAAAAGCUUGGAAGAAGUAAAGCAAUUGACUAAAGAAUAUUGUAUUGGGAGAGAAAGGAAAGGGUUCUUCAUGGAACAAGAUAACUACUCAAAUUCUAUGGAGCUUUGUGCGUUGGAUAUGACUGGAAUGACAUUCUGGAAGUUCACUCCCCCACUACCUCUGGUUUUUCUUCUUCCUCGUUCAUUUUUUCUCUCAUGUUUAUCAUAAAAAAUAGUCGACUCUAAGACUGGCUGGGGGGGGGGAAGGUGAGAAAAUUCAUGCACUCAAAUAAUCACAGCGUGGAAGAAUAUGCACGACUGCAAGGAUCACUUGAAAAUCUCCAGCAGCAGUUGGAUGUCAUUGUCACUAGGGGAUAUUGACUUUCAACUGGAGCGAUAAUUGGGCGCUGUUAUAUCAUAUAAUUGGUGAUCUCACAUCACCUACGCUAUGUAUUAAGAUUUCGUGAAGUUCAAUUAUUGAAUAAAGUUUAGCAAGGUAUUAGAUUGUUGAUAUUGUUUUUGUAAAUAUAGUCUAUUCAACUGAUCAAAUGAUCUUAUGGCUUGGCCCUAGAGAUGACAGGUUAAACUAUCAGAGCAGUAUUUUCCAAGUUCAUUGUCUAGAAGUGUUAUAUUUUUCAAUUGAUUAUCUCAAUGCUAACACUACAACGUAAUCAAAACCAAACAUGCAGCAUACGUGGAUCAUAUAGAAUGUAAUCCAUGACGAUUAAUUAAAACGGGCAUCAAACCUGAAUAUGGUCCUCGGGAAGUAAGCUUUUCUGACCAUCGAGGCACCUGUAACGAUGUAGAAAAGGAUUUCAAGUUAUUGAAAGUCCUACCCACCCUGCAGUGAUCAGGUUGGUACAUCAUCGGCUUACAUUUCAAGAAGUUCUUGUGCAUCACUGAAGUUCCCAGCGGACACUAGGGUCUGGACUAGCCCUUGAGCUGUCAUCAAAGUGUCCAUAGAUUUCCAACCCUGUGCCAUGAGAUCGACAUCAAAUUUGACGCAAUACGCCAGCGGCAGGCUCUUUCUGAGCCUUUUAUCUCUUGAAAAUGGAAAUAAAACCUCUAGAUGCACUGAAAGAGAUGAAAAGAUACGAGGAAAUGGAAGUAACACCUUUGACAAUUCCAUGAUAUGCAGAACCUUUCUCUGUACAUUUUCAGCUUCCACAAGACGGCUGGACUUCAAAUAUAUCUACGAAAUAUAGCAAGAAAAAGAUCAAAUUAUUUAUUAAAAAAAAGAUAGUGAUGGCAGACAGAUUGAGAAGUAUCAUUCUAAAUCAUACAGGACAUAAUAGGGUGACAACCUGGGCUAGAUAACGCAAUCUCCUUAUACAUGUAGCCGAUUCCCCUUGUCCACUGUCCUAUAUUCAAGUACAUUCAAAAUGUUAAAGGCUGUGUUUGGAGACCCAAGUUUAAGCAAGUAACCAAGUACUAUACAGCAGCGCACCUCUGCUAUCCUAAUGGAAUCCUGGAUGAGAACUUCAGCAUCCAUUUGUUUACCCAUAAGAAACCUCACCUGAAUUGAGGCCACAGAGCAGUCCCAAAGUUAAAAGAGAAAAAACAAGGUAGGAUUUGAGAGGAGACCGCAUAUAAAAUUGGAAGCUGAUGAUUUCGAAAGGAUAUGAGAUGAAAAUUACAAAACAUAAAAAAUCAAUAUAUACAAGCAACAAUGACGCCUACAAGAAAGUGUGAUAUGUUCACAUUCAAAACUUGAGGACAUCUUUUGUAGAUAUGGAUGGUUAAUUUAACAUUACAGAUUUUAACUGCUUUUGGGGUACAAAAGUAACAAAACAUGAUGAGUGAAUGCAUUAUGGAAUUAACACAGGAAAAUACCACACCAAUUAGCAACACAAUGUAGCACAACAACUAUAACAUAGAAGGUUAUACCGUCCCAAGAUGAUACAUUGUGUCUGCAUAGUCUGGAUUAUUAAAUCCAAGAACGCGACCCUUGAUCUGUCAUAUGCAACAUGCAAUCAGAAUGAAAAGGAGCUACAAUUCCUUCAUGUAAACAGAAAAAAAUAAUUUGCUACAAGAAAUGAAAUACAGUUCGAAACAGUUAAAGUCGAUCCAAAAAAGAGGUCCAACAGUGCACGCAUCUGAGAAAACAGACCUUCAGAGAACGCUGCCCAAGGAAAGAGGAGGAAAAAACAAAAAUCAGCAUGAAGUUAUCAGUAGAUCAGCUAGAUGAAUAAACUCUUCCAUCAGAAAAUACACAUAGCAAAAAGGAACAAGGAACUUGUUAUUAUAGGUAGAUUCGUCAAAGAUACAUUCUACCAAUCUAACUCAUUCACACGCUGUAUAAGUUGGAAAUAGUUUAGCAACGCAAAUAACUUAUGUACCAAUUAGUUGGUAUACUGUGUACUUUUCAUUUGAAUUCUAAGCGCUUAUCAUGUUUUCACCGUAGCUAAACUCUUCCGCAUUGCCGAUGUUCAAUUAACUUAGACUACUGAAGAUCCGAAUGAAUCCAUCUAAAACGGAAACCACAAGCAGAGCUACUGUAGAUAUCAAUAAAAGAUCCACAUUAAUCAAUUCACUGUUUCACAUAACUGAAAUAAAUAAUUGGGGAAGUUCCGGCAAAUGGCCAUUACCUCGUAGCAUUUACAGGCUUCUUCCAGUUUCCGCUGCACAAGAUAGAAUUGCCCCAUGUUGUGAAGAGCCGCACCUACACUAUGAUAAAUAUAUGCAGUACCCAUGAGUACUAAUGACAAAGUUGCUAACCAUGGAAGGAAAUCAAUGUUCAGUUAUUAAAGCAAGACCACAAACUUGUGAUAUAGCAAACGUGAUACAUGCAGCUGAGGUAGCAAUGCAAAUGGAGUUAGAGUCAUAGUAAAAUACUAUAUUCUUUCCCUAAUGAAAAACAAGAGUUACAGUAACACACGAGUCAAAGAAUCAUCGUUGAUGCAACCAUGCAACAACUUUCUAUCAGGAUAUUUAUAGUUAUAUUAAAAAAAACCAUAUCAUGAUGAUAGUCUAACUUUUACGCCAAGAUAUAUGACACACUAGGAGUCCCAAACACCUACCGCACAUCUUCUGGACCAAAUGCUUCCUCCAGUACAUUUAUGGCCUUCAAAUACAAAGGUUCUGCUUUAUUGAACUCCUUCUUAACUCUAUAUAGUUCCGCCUGUAAAGGGAAGAAAUUACAAUUACAAUGAGGAUUACCUUGUAUAGCCCGAGACAAAUUCCUACUGAGAGCUCAAAAAUUUUCCUGUGGCAAACUUAUAUGUAUAGAUUAUUCCAGGUUAAUAACAAUCAAAAAUUUCUUCUCCUUCAAAUGAAAGAGAAGACCCAGAUGUUUCAACAUGGUGAAAUGGGGCACAAAGAAGCUUGGGACAGCACAAGACAAGAGGCCUGUGUUAUUCAGCUAUUUUCUCUUACACUAAAACUGACAUUAGGGACCGACAACUACACUUGAAAUAACCUAUUAUCUAGUAGUCAGGUUAGCUUUAAGUAGGUACGGACCAAAUUGUUGCAUGCGGAUGCAACAUGGGGAUCUUUCUCUCCGAACCCUUCUUUGGCUUCAUUCAAUGCAGAAAUGAAGAGCUUUUCUGCAUUGUCCAAUUUCCCCUGUGAAGAAAACAAGCAACAAGCUUUCCAUCAACCCCAAAUCAUAGCUUCUGAUAGAAUGAAUGGAGGCAAAACAAGAAAACAAGAACAGAAGAAGCAACAGAAAAGAUGCCUGCCUGAAGGAAAAAAUCUCGCCCACUGUCUGUAAAAACUCUCCACUUAGAAGUAUGUAUAUUUGACACUACGGAACCAUCGUCAAUUUUCUGCAAGCCAAUUUCGCCAGUCUCUUCCAAUUCAGUUUUAGGAUUACUCUCUACAGAAGCAUCUGCUAGUACAAGGUUUCCAUCAAUCCCGAUGAAAAUUGCUGCAAGUAUGUUGAAAUCGUCAGCUGAAAAAUACAGCACUCCAUAGUUGCAUUUCUCAGUAGCACAUGUAAACAAAUCUCAACCUGCUUGUCCAGCAGCAAUAAUCCAUAGAAGAGAACGAUUUUCAUUCCUCCCCCAAGUUGAACCGCCAAAUCCAAAUUCAUUGGCUCUGAUACUCCUUCCUGUAAGAGAAACUAGCAUUCAAUUGCUUGGAGGUUGGUUUUAACAGGAGCAGAAGCUAAUGCCAUGGCUAGGUAAGAAACAAACAAACAAACAAAAGGUGAUGAUGAAAUUUCGACGCCCGUGAGAAAGAAUUCAAGAAUUGAAGUCAAAUUUCCAGUCAUACAUUAACGCCAAAGCUGGAUAUGAACAGUGAUUCUGGAAUUGUCAAUCUAAUUCGGAAAAAUUUGUACGAGAACUACGGAGUAAUGACGGAUUCCCGCAAUAACAAAAUACAAUUGGAUAGACUGUGAUCAAGCCGAUCAGCUCACCAGUUUGCUGAAAACAGGUUCUCACUUACCAGACUGUGAAGUGGAGGAAACAAGGAGUGGUUUUACGGAAGGAGUGGCGAGCUGGGUAGGAACUUCAAUCCUUCUGGCCAGAGACGCUGCUGCUCGACGAAGUAGCUGGAAUUGCAUAGCUGGUUGGUCAGUAGCUGCUGCCUGCCGACGAUCUCAAAAGCAGACGAUUGGACCUUCGGGAAUCGGGAGGUUUCGGUAGGGGUUUUGUAAUUUUGAGUUUUGUCUGUUCUCUUGCUUAAUCGCUUUGGAUAUAUAACAAUGGUGCUCCUCUGUAUUUGGCUUAUAUACAAAACCAUCCCUCAUAUUUAAAAUGUGACAGAUGAGGGUCAAAUACAUGGUCUUAUAACUUUGAAUCGAGUUAAGUACAGAUCAUGAUAUUCAAAAUAUUACACACUAAUCACUAAAUAUAAAAAUAGGAGAAAUUAAAAUUUUCCCAAAACGUUAGUUUCAUAAUCAAUAUGUAAUAUAUUAUUUAAGAUAAAAACAUAACCCGAGUCAAAGUUAUAGGAUUUAUUGAGUAUUCGAGUAUUUAACCCGACUUUUUUCCUAUAGGCAUUUAAGUAUUUAACAAACUAGUUAGGUUGAUAACACCUUUAUAGUUUAUCAUCCAUUCGUUGACCAAUUGAUGUGGAUGACUCAUUUCAUCCAGUUAGCAAGCAUCACGUAUUCGGCAGGUACGUUGACUUUUAAAUUGAAUAAACUAAAUUUCAGUCUUAUAUUCGUGGCCUUGUAGGUUAAACGAGUUGGGUGUGGUGGGUUGGUUAGUUUCAAAAGGUCUUUGCCAAUCACAGCAAACUAGACACCCCACAUCGACGAUUGAUUCACUCUUUUUUUGAAAACGGCCUACUAUCUCCUCCUCCAAUUCCAACUCGUCAGCUUUAUUUAGAUCCAUCAUAUAGAGUGAGUUUGGCCCCCACCAGGCCCAUUACUAACUAGGCUUAAGGUCAACUCUUUGCUUGAGUGGGCAAAAGCUCAAUUUUAACUUUGGACCCAAAUUAAAUCUUCAAUUUUCUCCCUCCUUCCCUCUCUCCAAAGUGAAGGUAAGACUCGAAAUUGAAACAAUAGAGUAUCGUAACAACACUAAUCAAUAACUUUAACUAGCCGAACUAAUAUUUUUAGUUACAAAAACGAUAAAAUCAUAUUGUUAAACGAUAAUAAUAAAAUUUAGAUAACUUCACAAGAAGAAUUACGAUUAUCGGCAACACUGAGAAUUAUGCACGAUCAAACAAACAAUUAUAAAUGGUUGGUUUUUAGAAAAUUGAGUCUAUCAAUGACUUGUAACAGAGCACAUGCCGGAUCACCAUUCGUCAAUACAAAAGCACUGAAAGUUUGCUACUGUUGGAAAUAUAAAAGCAGAUUCGUAAACAAAGUAUCUUAUUCAAGGUGACGGUAGUAGUAAGAUGAUCAAAACGAAAGACAGAAAACGAAAGCACAUACGCAACCGCUAUAACUGUAAAAGUACACUUCGAGUUUCCCUGAAACAGAGUAGGCUGAUUCGGCAGGUAUUGGUACCAAACUGAUCAUCAUCCGUGUUGGUAACAAACUUGAUCAUGGCUUCCAGAGAAGGGUGGUCUCAGCAAUCAUGGAGGUGACAACGUAAGGGUCCAUGUUGGAAGCUGGCCUCCUGUCUUCAAAGUACCCUUUCCCUUCCUUCUCCGUCUCCCUCCCUACUCGAAUCGACGCUCCCCUAUUCGCAACUCCCUGCAAUUGUUUUCGUUUCAAAUUUCGUUAAUUUACCAAGUCGGUGAAUGUAGUGACAUAACGACAUUCGAAAGUGUUGUACGUACCCAUAAGAAGGUGUUGAUGUCGGCGGUUUCGUGGCGGCCGGUGAGGCGACGGUCGUUGCCUUCACCGUAGGCAGCGAUGUGUUCUGCGUGCUUCAGCCCCAGCUUCUCUAUGGCCUUCUUGAUCACCUCGUAGCCUCCAUCUUUCCUCAUUGACUUGGUGCUGACCUCAUUUCCAAUCACAUUAGAAAAAGGAAUUGACAAACUAGGAGUACAUAUUCGAUUACUAUUAAAAUUGAUUAACCCACUGUCUUUAGUAGUUUAAUCGAUUAAGUAAAAUAAUCGAUCUAACUCUAACUUUUUUUAUGACGAGAAAUCCGUUCUACAUAUACCACUUUGUGAUGUUACAGUAAGUCGGGUUGUCGGUCUUAACCUUAGGUACUUAUUUAACCAUACUAGAGGUGCUAUAAGAAGAUAAUGAGGAGUGCACUAUCCAGGAUUGGUUAAUUGAUUAAGGAUUUGAGAUUCUGACUCGCUUUAUAUUUAUACCUAUUAUUAUCAAAAUCGACUUAUUUCGAUCAGUUAACUGACCGUUAACAUUGAGUUACGAUUAAAACUUAUUAACUGACCGUUUUUGUAGGUUAAUAACUUAAGUUAAAAAAAAUCGCCCGAUUUUUUAUGGAGUGGAAUCUCUUUUAUAGACGCCAUUUUGUGAUGACGCUGCAGUCAGGUAAAUUCCGGAGUUUCCGAACUUCAGCUUGGAUACUUAUAUAUACUCAGUUUAGCAAGUGAAAUGUUGAAUGAAAUUUGAAUUGAAAUCAGAAAGUUGGUUCCCAAAAUGCACUUCGUUGGAAUAAAUUUCUCACUCGUACAAGAAAAUGCUUGAAAUCCCAUCUAACUUUCUAUAUGUCAAAUCAAGACCGAAAGUGCUACAAGAGAACAAUGAAAAAUGCUCUUUGCGGGAUUGAUUAAUUGGUUAAACAAUUGAAAUUCUUUUCAACCAACUCACUUUAAUUUAUAUAUCUAUUACCGAAACCACCUUACUUUGAUCACUUAACUCGCAGUUAGUUAACCGAUCAACACCAUAUUGACCGGUUAAUCAAUUAACCAAUCUGCAUAACUAUCCUAAUUAACCGAUCAAAUAUGGUCGAUUAUUUAACCAAGCCGGCCGACUCCAACUGACAUUAGAAACACUUCACAAACUAACUCCUAUAUAAUUCCCAACAUGUCUUAGAUUAAUGGCUAUGUUUCUCAACUUUAUUGUUAAUUACUAUUCAUCAUCCAAUCUACCUGUAAUUAGUGUGUGCACCAGCUCCAUUCCAAUCGCCCUGAAUCGGCUUAGGGUCAAAGGAAACCACAACUCCAGCAAUCUCUGUGAUCCUCUGUUUUUUUAACAGUAAAAUGUCAGUGAAAGAAAAAAAAACAGAGCACUCGGGUUUUGCAAUUUUCACAAAACUCGAAUUACCUCCAGGAUAUAACGAGCCACCCACACUUCAUCACCAGCAGAAAUCCCCACCGACGGCCCAACUUGGAAUUCCCACUGCAAAAAAAACUAAAAUAAACAAGACUGCAAAUUGUAAGGACGAAGCUAGCUAGAAGAAGUAAAAGAUAAAAAACCUGGCCAGGCAUGACUUCGCCAUUGAUUCCACUGAUAUUGAUGCCGGCAUAAAGGCAAGCCUUGUAGUGUGAAUCCACAACGUCCCUUCCAAACGCCUUGUCAGCUCCCGCCGCACAGUAGUAUGGCCCCUGCAUAAGAUUCCACCAUUUUUUAAAUUGGAAAAAGACUGCUUAAUGAUCAAAAUCUGAUCUUUUAUCUGAUGAUAAUAAAGAAGAAACUUUAAAAAUUAAGCGGAUAAGAAAAACCUGAGGUCCAGGGUAGCCACCGAUGGGCCAGCCGAGGGGCCACUUCACAUCCUUCUGAAGCAGAGUGUACUCCUGCUCGAUCCCAAACCACGGCUCCUCUGCUUCCACUUCAGGGUUGCUGAACACCUUCGCCGCCGCGCAUCUCUUGUUCGUCGGGAUCGCUUCUCCGGCUGGAGUGUAAGUGUCGCACAUCACCAGGAUGUUGUUCCCCCGCCUGAACGGGUCCUUGAAUAUCGCCUGCGGGCUGUAGCCGGGACAAAUGGAGAAAACAGAGUUUGUACUUCAUAGAAUGAAAAGAGUUGGAAUUUUCUUAAGAUGGGACAAAUUAAAAGAUUCUUUUUCUUACUAGAGGAUGACUUCACUGUCCUUUCCGGGAGCUUGGCCGGUGCUGGAACCGUCGUAGUUCCACUUGGGCAGCUUCGAAGGGUCGCUCACCGGUCCGGAAAGUGUCUUCAGUAUGGAAUUUGUAAAAAUUAGUCAGUGGACAUUGCUAGAAAUCGGAAGUUUAAUUAAAUUUGUGAAAUUAAUUACCCUUGCUUUGCUUCUCAAGUCCAUUCCAGACCCGCCGACCCUGUAACAAGUGAUGAAUUACGCUCCAUCAAUGGAAUAGAAAAGAAAACAGAGCAAAUUAACAGGGGGAAAGAAGAAUGGUACGUACCAUAUGUACUCAGCGAUGAUCUUCUCGGUGGAGUCGGAGAGGUCGAGGUUUACUAGAUCUGUAAGAAGAGACAUUAUUUUCUGUCUUUGGUUUUGGAUUAGCUGAAGAAGGAAAUGCUCUGGUUAAGCUUUGUUUGAUUCUCCUUCGGAUGUAUUGUUGUGCUAGGAUAAGGUGGUAUUGAGGUGGUUUUAUAGUCCAGUUGAGGGUACUGGCUUACGUGAAACUAACAGGAUAUUUUUAUAUUGCGAUUGGCAAAUUUUUUUAAGUUUAUUAGUCAUAUAACGAUGCCGGUCAAUGUACUUAAUUAACAAGACAAACCAAACAAAUACUAAAAUGAAAUAAAUUAAAAUUAAGUCAACUUAGCUAUGGUACAAAAUAAAUAUCGCGUAAAAAAUAAUUUUUCAUCAAAAUAAUUCUUUGAAGUCAUAGAGUGCAAAAUACAAAUCCUGAUUCUUUGUUUCAAUUAAGCGAUUCAUUCGAAUUAUGAACUAAUUUUUAGAAAAAAAUGAACCACGUAUGGCAUAUUUAACCAUAUAUUUAUAAUCAUUUCGAUUUCAAAUUUGGCUCUUCAACAUUACGAUCACCGGCAUCGUCCCUAGUAUAAUUAACCUUACCACAGUCAGUGUAACCAUGGAUGUGGGUUAGUGAUUUUUUUUCUACCCGUAUGGAAGCGACCCACCUGAUUGACGUUUGAACCCAGUUUUGGGCAUGAUCAAAUGGCCAUUAUAGUAGAAGCCAAAACUUGAUUUGUACGUGAUAGACUAACUUGUGGCUCUAUAUGUCUCUAGCCUUGGGAUGCUUUUAUGCGGUCUGGAAAUUUAGUGGUAGACUACGCCAAACGAAAAGAUUCUUAUGUUGUGGAGAGUUGCUUAGUCGUAGGGUAGGGUGUUGGUGAUGGGAUGUCUCGGAUUUGAAUCUAGCAUAUUUUAUGAACGGACUAUUACAAAGUCUUUAACAUCGGAGUUCCUAGGUUCGGAGCACAUUUUUAGCAGCCCAAUGAUGGAACUUUGAGAGUGUUGCUACUCGUACGGACUGUUUGGAAGUCGCAUGCUUCAUCCUUUCAAUUGUUCCAAAUAUCCGUAUGGACACUCUCCUUCAAGAUUGUCAGAAUUUGUUUCACUCACUUUCUCACAUUACUCUCUUUCAUAAUCUUGAUUUGGAAAAUACAGCCGCCCAUCUUGUGGCGUGAUAAGCUCUUAAUUUUAUAUAAUGCUUUGUAUUAUGUUUUUCAUUUUUGUUAUCCAUUAUAUGUAUCAAGACUUGAUACCUAAACUUUUUAAAAACUAAUCGAAAAGUUUAAUCCUACAAAAAAAAUACAAAAUAUGUAUACCUUUUAGAGUACCAACACUAUAUUCUCGCGAGGGGGAUUACAUGAUAUAUAAAUAUAAAAACAUUUAAAAAAUUUAAAAUGCAUUUUAAAUUCUAUACGAUUUGAGGGCUGAACUUAAUUUACUAUUGACCAUCACAAUCAUUUAAUUUGAUAAAACUGGAACCGACUGGCGAUGUCCGUAGCAGUUUCAGAGAUUCAACUGUGUAGUUAUUUGUUUAAUAUAAAGGACCCAUCGACAAUCUCUAAUGGUGCUGAAGAGCUUCAAUAUGAAAUAUAAAAUAAAUAAGAAGCUCAUGACAAAUCAAUUAAAAAUUGUAAGCCAAUUACUAAUUAAUAAUGUUAAAACACUUUUAAACUGCGGCUUAUGAGAGUAUUCAAUCAAGUUGCUCAAUAUAGCUUACCCUUUCGUUUAUAGUUUAUGCUACGAUCGAGUAUAUUGUUCACAACCAGGAAGGGACACUCAAUAUAAGUAGUUGUUUAGUGAUCGGUCCGAUUUAUAAAAAUUCAAGGCCAAUAAUCGUGGAUGUAUCUGAAGUCAAUUAACACGAAAAAUAUCAUGUUGUUCAGUGAUUCAGACAAAAUUAAUUAUGAUUUAUGACAACACCUUAAUUAUUCUCAAUGAUUUCAGACCUUUUAGUGUCUAAACUUCAAAACUUAACCAAAUAGUAAUUGAACCCAAUGAUCACCUCCUUUAACGGUCUCCUACGUAGCAGUGCCAACGAACUCAUAUGUCAUGUCACUUAAAAUUCCACAUCAAUAUUUAACUACCCAAAGCCCAACUCAAUCUGAUCAUCAUCUUCUAAGUAGCCGAUUUUGCCAACAGAGAAGGUUGCAAAGCAAGAUGCCCUGAUACCUUUUGUCUCUGCUGGUUUUGGAUUCCUGGCCAAAUCGUUGAGAUAUAUAUUGGGCAACCGCGAGUGGAUCGAUGGCCGACAAUAAUAGAGGCUUGGAGUUCAUGGUGAGAUAUGCAGAGAUAGAUGUUAGGAAGUUUUAAUUAACAACACCUCUUUUGGUAGCCAAUGGGUUCCAGUGGAGAACAUAUUCCCACGAAAGGGCAUCAAAUCAAUACUCGGAAUUUCUACACCAAUGCCGAUAGUAGUUUGCACAGAUGUAAAAGCAGAUCACGCACAGGUGCAAUUUAGGGGCGGGAAUGGUGCUCUUUGCUGCUUUUCUCGUCACCAUCCAAUGCAUUCUCCAAUCUCCACCAGAUUCCCCCCUUUUUCAAUUUUAGUUCAAUUAUUUCAUCGUCUUACUGUCUUAGCCAAACAUUGUCAAGGGAAUACAGAUAGUAGGUUCUAAGUUAUAGGGUACAGUAAGGCAAUAGUGGAUGGUGGAAUUCCAAGGUGAUAGCUCAUAUUCUGCACAUAAAUAUGAUCAUAACUCAUAAGGGGUGGUUUGGUGUAAAAUUAUUCUUCUGAAAAGUGGGGCACUUAGAAAAUAACUCCUCCAUCUAGGAUUACAUUACAAUCGCUAAAGUACUUCACAUUCAAUUAUGAUUUACAUUUGAUAGUUGAGAGCACUCCUCUUACCAAUUGCAAGAGAAUCAAAGUAGAAAAGUGAUGCCGAGUGAAUAUUAUUAUUACAGAAUAAUCUUUACACUUAGCAUUAUAGCAUGAUUAAAUUAUGUUGGGAACUCGUAUAUUAUAUUGUGAUUUGUUGCCUUCAUGUACAUGGAUAUAGAAUGACAUUUUAAAUUAUACAUCAAAUUUGUAUAUUCAUUACAAACUAAAUCCAUCCAAACUACUUUUGAACAUGCCAAAAUUGGUAGUUAGGACUGAUUGGAGUGAAAUGGACGCGAUUACUGUUUAGAUUUCGUGGGAAUUGGAAUGUUGGUUCCGAACGUGGACUAUACUAAGAUUGCUCAGUUUCUCCUUAUCUUUUCACAUUGUUCAUGGGGAGACUAAGCAAAACUAUAAGAGAAAGUGUUACGAAGCGAAGUCCUCAAGGUGAGAAACCCUAUGUAAUUUUAUGUUCGAAAUGCAAUAUAGACAUUAAAUUGAUUUCAUUUGAUCUGACGAUAGAUGUAAAAUAGUAACUAAAAGGGUAUCAUUGUCAAAUCCGGAAAUAAAAACACUACCUCCCAUAUUGCCCUUGGCGAGGAUGGGACUCCAAAUUUCAUCUUCUCUGACGAGAUGGGCAGGUGAGAGGUGUCAAUUUGCAUCUCAAGGCUUACGAGAGAGCACACCAGAUGCUCAAAGAUUUGCGGGCACACAUUAAGAGAAAUUAACGACGUGUUACGUUCAUCAUUAUUUUCAAUAGAUGACGCCACACACUAUAUUUCGCAUAGGUAUUAGUAAUAAAUCAAUGGUUGGUGACAUUUAACGUAAUGUUUCCUGAAUCCAAACCGGCCAGUCGUCAGAUAGUAUCCAAAUUAUCUUCAACGGACGGCCCAGACUGUUCGUAUGGUCCAAGCCCAUCCCAUAUUCCAUUUCAAACUCCCGCCCAUAUAUCAAAACCAGAUUCGAAAAUGAAAUCAGAGAAAUUCAAAAUUUUCAAACAAACGUAUUGUUUUUUUUGGAAAGUUGGACGCGAGUCAGAUCAGACUGAAGCAGUGAGGGAAAAAUAGAGAGCAGAGCUCACAGAGCAAGAGAUAGGAGCAAUGGAGGCCGACGACGAAGAGAGGAUGCAACUUUGCCGUAAAAUCGCCAAAAUCCUCGACGAAACAAAGACAUCAAACGCCACUCACAUCCGAAAGCUGAAAGACCUCUCUGCCGUCCUGUCAAAGUCCCCGUCUCCUCGCCAGUUCGCGGCUGCAUUCUGCAGGACUCUGACUCCUCUCUUCUGCAUCCAGCGCCGGACUUCCUCCGCCGAGCGCGUUGUCAGGUUUGUCUCCACCUUCGCCGGCGCCCAGGCGUCUGGUAGAGACUCCGGCUGCGAUGAAUUUCUCGAGGAGUUGCUCAGGUUCUUACUAACUGCUUCUGCCGCCGCCAAUAAGACCGCCAGGUUUAGGGCCUGUCAGAUGAUAUCUGAGGUAUUUGGUUGCUCAAUUUCACAUUUCGUAUUGAAAUUUCUGCUCGUUUAUUGGAUGCUGGUUGUUCGUUUGGAGUGACCCGCAUUUGACCUAUUUCUUCAAGUCUGAAGAUAGAACCAAGCAUUGCCAAAAUUGUUUCUCGGUUUUGAAAUAUUGAGAGUUUGUUCAGUGAUUCAUCUGAGAUUUUGGAUAGCCUUGCGGCAGAAUUUUCAGCUUUGAGGCGAAAGUAUGACCCUAGUUGGUUACAAAGAAGAUACCAAUAAGGAGUAGUGAAAACAAGAUUAUGAGCUCCUAUGGAUUCCAUUAGUAAGAUAGUUUGGUAUUGGCGUAUUGCAGCUUACAUGCUGUCAGUUUUCAGCAUCUUGAAUCAGUUUUGCCUAAGUAGCUGUUCUUGCUUUGAGUUUCGAUUUAGUUAAGUAGCAUUCUGUUUGUUGAUACGGCAGAUAAAGGUUGCACCAUUGAAUAGUCUGGAGGGUGUUUCUUCUUAUGAUAGGCAAUUCAGAAACUGGUCUCAUCUCCUCUGCUUGGAAGCAUAUUUCUCUCUUUAUGUGCCAUCAACAUGACUGGCCUUUAUAUUUGCAGAUAAUUAUGCGGCUGCCUGAUGAUGCCGAAGUAAGUGAUGAUGUAUGGGAUGAGGUUAUUGAAUGUAUGAUGUUGCGUGUUCGAGACAAGGCUUCUGUUAUUUGUACAUUUGCUGUUAGAGCUCUUUCCAGAUUCGUAAACGAUGCUGAGAAUAGUGACAUCCUUAAUAUGCUUCUGGAAGUGCUUGAACUGGAGCAAAGUGCAGUGAGUACCAAUUUUGCUUCAACUUUUUCGACUUCUUUGCUUCUAUUAAGAAGUGUUACAGCUUUCCUCUAUUGGGACAUCAGUUAAAAAGCCUGUGCUUCAAUUUUUUCCUUUGCUGGCUAAUAUUUUGUCAUCUGCUGUAACUAACUAACUAACUCUGUGUUCUUUUGGAGAACGUACUCUGUGUGCUUGCAUCUCUCGCAAUUUGUUACUUUUGGUUCAUUAUAUAAUGUUUCGUAUUAUUGGUAAUGUUGCAGGAAGUUCGUAAAACAAUUCUGUUAGCUUUGCCUCCUACAAAUGCAACCUCACUUGUGAUUGUUGAUUGCACCUUAGAUGUGAGUGAAUCAGUUCGCAAAGCUGCAUACUCUGUUCUUGCUAACAAAUUUCCACUGCAUAGUCUCAGGUGAAUUAAAGUUCUUGCUGUUAUCAGUCAACUUUUCCCUUUCACCUUAACCUCUGCCAUAAUGCUUUAAUUUCGGUUCCAGUGAAUAUUUAACUAUUUACUUCCAAAGCAUGCUUCGAGAAGGUUGUUUGCUGGAAUUUUCUUGCAGAUCUACACUUUUAUCAACUACUUACACUUUGUCUUUACUCUUUUCUCCUUUUCUUCGCUUCCUUACUAAUAUAGCAUUAAGCUGAGGACACUGAUUCUUCAAAGAGGACUUGCUGAUCGUUCCAUCAUUGUUUCAAAGGAGUGCCUAAAGCUGCUGAGAGAUGAGUGGCUUUCUAAGUGCUGCAAUAAUGAUCCUACAGAACUUCUAAAGUAUUUGGAUGUUGAGACUUAUGAGUUGGUUGGAGAAGCUGUGAUGGAUGCUUUGCUGAAAGAAGGUUCAAUUUUAUUUGAUAAUCAGAGCAUCCAAGAGUACAUUGUAUAUACCGCUGGUGAAAAUGAAGGUUGGUUUAGUGUCAAGUUUUUAAGUGUAUGGUUCAUGUAGUACUUGGUCAGCUUCCUAUUAUGAUUAUUUAGGAGAAAAUUAUUCUUGGGAUAUGAAGUGUCAAUAAUGUUUUUCCUUUUUCGUGUGUUGAGAAAGUGACAGUUUGAAUUAAAUGUAAUUUGCAACUUCAUGAACAUAGAAAAGUCUCGUGUCUAACAGCCUAAUUAACGCCUAACGCCUUCUUGAAAAAAGUUUUUCCUAAUGAUGUCCAUAGCUGGUGUAUUUCUAGUAUGGUUAACGAGAAGAAGUUUGGCUGUUGAUGGGUUCUAUUUCCUUGACAACAAAGUUAAUGUUGUUGCAUAUACAUUUCGUGUCUAGCAGAUUCACCUCCAAAUAUUCAGUUGAUGGAACCAGAGUCGGCUCUUUAUUGGAAAACUGUGUGCAGGUUCUUACAGAGCAAGGCACAAGUAAGUAUGUUCUCCAUUGUUUUCGUCACUGAUGCAGUAAAUAGAGAGCUGUAGGAAUAACGAUCUUACACUUAAAAUAAGAGAGGCUAGCUCUGAAGUAGAGUAUCAGUGAUUCAACAGUAAAUAGUACAUCACUUGUAUGUUCUCAUACAAAUUCAAUGAGUAGAAUUGGAUGUGAAAACUUGCCAUGGAAACACUGCAAAUGGAUUUCAGUAGUUAGCACAACCAAUUGUUUUGCACUGAACAUAUUAUAAUGGAUAACGUAGGGCCGUUUUUACUGACUCAUGUUCGAGCAGGCAAAAGGCUCUGAUGCUGCUGUAACAACGGGUACUGAAGCUGCAGUUUAUGCCGCUGAGGCUUCAGACAGUAAUGACCUUCUCGACAGAAUACUUCCAGCUACAGUUUUUGAUUAUGUAGCUCUGGUCAAAGCUCAUAUAGAUGCUGGUAGGUAGUAUUCUCUGGUUGAAACUAGUGAUCCUUUUUGCAUGUUAUAAUUUUAUCUUCAAAAUUUCAGGAGCAAACUUCCGUUUUGCAUCUCGACAGCUGCUGCUACUUGGUACCAUGGUGGAUUUUUCUGAUUCCACAUGCAGAAAGGUAGCUAGUGCUUUCCUUCAAAACCUGUUGCAGAGGCCCUUAGAUUUUGAAACUGAUGAGACUGGAAAUGAAGUCGUCAUUGGAGAUGGCUUAAACCUGGGUGGUGAAAAAGAUUGGGCUGACGCUGUAACCAGCUUGGCAAAACAAGUUCAUUCAGGAAUUGGAGAGAUUGAAAGUGCUUUUCUUGUGGUUCUAGAAGAACUUGUCAGGCCUUGCCGGGAGAGGACAGCUGAUUUUAAGCAGUGGAUGCAUUGCCUUUCUGUCACAGGUCUUCUUUUGCAAAAUACAAAGUCGUUUCACCUGCUUCAAGGACAAGCUAUCCAACCAUCUGAAUUGCUGCAGUCUUUGUUACUCCCUGCGGUACGAAUGCGGAACUCUGCAGUUUCUUUUUUUUCAUUCAUGUGUUUCCUGCUUGAACUUGUCCAAUAAAAAAUAGCGGAAUGUGGCCAUGUUAUACAUGCGAAUGUGGUGAUAACUUCUUGAGUUUACCGUUUCGUCAUAAUAUGACUGACUAUAACCAUAGUAAGGUUGCAUCAUGCAGUAUUCCCUACUUUAUACCGUUCAACAGGCAUCAGAUAAAUCAUUAUGUUUGGUGAAUAUUGCCUACCUAAUUGGCAUGUAAAGCCCUUGCUAAACUGUAAAAAAAAUAAAAAAUGUCUGAUGUUUGUAGAAUAUAUCACUCACUCUUUUACAGGCCCCAAUAUUUGGAGUGCAUAUGUUUGUUGAGUUGAGUAGGAGAAUAUAACCAUUCGUGGGAACUCCUUAAUGCAGGCAAAACAUGUUCACUUAGAUGUGCAGAGAGUUUCGAUUCGAUGCCUUGGUCUUUUUGGCUUGUUGGAGAAGAAGCCAAGUGAAGAUGUGCUGAAGCAGUUAAGGGUUUCCUUUAUAAGGGGUCCUUCUCCUAUCAGUGCAAUGGCAUGCAAAGCUGUAAUGGACCUUGCUCUCUGGCAUGGUCCUCAUAACGUCGAUAGUGCCCUGGGAAGCGGUGAUGCAUCUCCAUCGGAGGGGAUCAAAAUGGAAUUCAAUCCUGUGAACUUCCUUGAUGCUGAUGAUAAUACCGAUGUCGGGUUUCUAGACCUUUUGUAUGCCGGUCUUGACAGAAAUGAUUGGGGGGAAGCAGUAGAAAGUGAUGAAAGCGAGAUUGUGCGAGCUGUUCUAGGUGAAGGAUUGGCGAAGAUUCUUCUCCUCAGUGACAAUUAUACAACUAUACCGUCUUCUUUACACCCUCUACUCUUUGCGAAGCUUAUUGAACUAUAUUUUAGUGACCAAACUAAUGACUUGCAGAGGUAUACUCUCAUAUUCACACUCCUUUCUAGAUAGCAUUUUCCUUAUCCAUGGGGAUAGAAUUCUCAUUUUCCUUUUGUAACCCAUCCUGGCAGGCUAAAACAGUGUUUAUCUGUUUUCUUUGAGCACUACCCUACCAUUUCAGCUAAUCAUAAGGCAAGUACAUGAAAAAAUGUUGCAUUUGUUUCUGCUUGAAGGACAUUGGAUGAGUAAAUUCAUAUUUUAACCUUGAUGUACGUUCCGUGUGGGUUAUGCAGAAAUACUUAUCAAAGGCGUUUAUACCAGUUAUGCACGCAAUGUGGCCAGCUGUUUUUGGAAAUUCUGGAGGAAGUUCUGUUGUGGUAUCUAACUUGCGAAAACGUGCAAUCCAAGCAUCACGGUUUAUGCUACAGAUGAUGCAGGCUCCAUUGUAUGUCUUAAACAAUGAGACUGAGAACGGAGAGAGUGGUACUGGAUCAGCAGAAAAUACGAAUCAAACGCCAGAGCCUACACUAGAAUGUAGAGAGGAAGGACUCGCAGUGCGCAUAGCCACAGAGGUUUGCAACAAUCCUUUUGCUAAUUGUUUUGUCGUUAUAUUCCGAGACUUAAAUGGCCAAUUCUCCUACUUUGCAAAUGCUUUUUGACAGAAGUUUUGUUGCUGCAAGCUUAUAAUUUGUUUCUACUUGUUUCUUUCAGUUGGCCAGCUUCACAGGGAAGAGAACAGCUGCAGAGAAGGCAUACAUAUCUGCACUCUGCAGAAUACUCGUCCUGAUCCAGUUUAGGAUAUCAGGGCAACACACAAUAAAGCUAAUGAGACGACUUCUGAAUCAACUGAUUGGAAAUGUACCACUAGAUAAAGAUGUCAUGAAAGAACUGAAGCUGAUGGCUGAACGUCUAAGUUCAAUGGAUAGUCAACCAGAGGAGGAACUACCCCAAGAUCAGGCCAAUCUUAUAUUCGGUACGUUCCCCACAUCCUCCCCUCGAAAUUUCGUAGAAGCUCUCCAUGGUCGAUGAUAAUGUGUUUCGAUAGGUUGUUUAAGAUGCAAAGACUUCCAGAACUAUCAACUUGUAAAAGGGUUGUCAUUAAAUCAUUAUCUGGUAGGGAUGAUCAACUCGGUUGCUAUUAUUCAAUUUAAUCAAAUUGCAUAACCAAAUUGAUAUAGGAAACCAAAAUGGAAGGUUAACCCUACUCGGUUAUUGGUUAAUUCGGUUAAUUUUCAAAAUGUAACCGAAUUACUAUACAUAUGUUUGACUAACUUCAAUUUUGUUGGGGUCUUUCCUUUAGGCAAUUCGGUUAAAAAUAAAAGCUGGGUUAUUUGGGUCAUUUACCAAUUUGGUUUUGUUUGGGUAAUUGCCAACCUAACCCAAUUUGGUUAUGUAUUCGGUCAAAAAGGUUAAACUUAUUCGAGUUGAAUUUGGCGGUGGAUAACCGGAUUCAACUCGGCUGCGGUUACGGUUACAAUUUUGAGCCGAAUUUCAAUUCGUUGUGGUUUAUCCGGUUUGGCAACCCUAAUUAACUGGAACUUUUGUGUAGGUAUACUGGAGGUGGAAUUCAACUUGGACGCCAACAUUCCUGCUGCUAGUGCUGCUCCUAGUUCUACAAACCAGCAGACGCCAGAUUGUCGAGCGAGCCGACCAGUCCGGCCGAGGAGGAGAGCAAAGGACGACGAAGAAACCUCGUCGGAGGAAGAAACUUCAUCGGUACCAGUCCCGGUAGCAGCUGCUGGCAGUAGCAGGUCGCAAAGGGCGAGCAAGACUGCUGCAUUGUCCAAGCUCCAGGGAGUAACAGGUCGCAAGAAAGCUGCUGCGGCUAGGAUUGAGGAGGAAGAAGAAGAAGACGAAGAAGAUGAUGAGUCAGACGUGACGUCAGAAGAUGCUGAUGAUGACAGUGAUGACGGCUUGAUCUGAGUAAGAGAUCUCCCCCUACCCUCGUUAAAACUAUCGUCGUUUUGAGAAAACGUAAUGUGCUUCCUCGGCACUUGAAGCUGUUGUGUAUGUUGUGAGUUAUGACAUGGUGAACUGAAAGCCAUCUUCGUCUUGAGAAAGGAUUGGUAGUGAUGAACUAGAAUCAUUGAUGUCAGCGAACAGAUCUCAGCCGUCAGAUCUAAUCACUAAGAUCUAACGGUCUGGAUUAUAGAGGUUAAAAAUGGUAUUUCAACGGGGUCACCUGAAUCAUCCGCACGUUCAGUUGAUUUGCUAUCUCGAUUAUAUGUGCAUCUCAUAUUCUAAUGUCUAAGCACAGAUUGGAUGACUGACAAUGAUUUCAAAUUUCUUAGGAAUCAAGUAUUUGUGCCCAAACAGAGCAUUCAUUUCAUAUCCAGACUCCCUGUUUCCCCGUCCUUUGUUUGUUUCUUUCUGGUAUUAUAAUCUAAACAAAGGUAGCUUUAUUUCACGUCCAGCUUUACAUGCAGUCUCCUCCUUUUCUGGCUAAGUAAAGAAAAAAGUAGAGGGGGCGGUGAGAGGUUUAACUUUCGAAGAAAAAGGGAGCCCUACUCGGGCAAAAGUAUAUCCAAGGUCAAGUAGCUUAGUGCGAUUAACACAGUUGGGUUCUCUCUUUCUCCUUUGGAUGAAUAUAAAGUUGUUCUUACAGUAAGGAAUAUACUUUAGUUUCUUUCUGGUUCAAUUAAUGGAGCUAGGCUACUUCAUCAAUGUCAAUCCUUCAACUUUGCGUUGGUUGUGAUUUGAGAUUCCUUCAUAGUUCAUCAGAUAAUACUGCUGCCUUUUUCUUCUUCUCUGCUUUAGCUAAUUCUGAAUAUACAUACAGCUAAUGCUUUACUGGUUUGCUAAAGGUGAUAGCCAUCUAGUUGCUUCUUUGCAGCUCUGAAGUUUCUUAUGUUAUGUUGUUUCAACCUCUUAUGAUGGCGUGUACAUGUGAAUAAGUGAUGGGACAAGUUUGUCACGGUUCCUUUGGGUGUUAUCAAAUGGUUGCAAAAAUGGGAUGUGCACAUAAACUCGAUCAUAUGACAUUAACCAAACCAGACUCAUAACACACUCGUAUGGUCGUGUACCAAUUGGCUAGACCCGACUGCUGGUAUAUGACCAUAUAGUCAAACUUUUGAUACUAAAUGCAUGGCGAAUUUGUAUAUAGGAUGACUAAUCGUACCACAUCUAUAGUCCUUUGAUUUCAAAACGACGAAAUGUUACAUACAAAUUAUUAUUGAAAUAGAAGUUUUAAACUUUAAGUUUUACAUAUUAAUUAAAUAGUGCUGUACAAGAUCCCACACCAUCUUGAUUUUGGUUCGUCCACUGACAUGACAUUGGAUCCCUAGCUUUAGCUAGGGCAAAUUUCCCAUGCUACGUCAGCUAUUUCCGGUACACCACCAUCUCUUUAUCGAAUGUCCCGUGACAACUUCUGCUUGCUCCCCACCCCCACCAAAAUUACAUGACGUAAUAUAUAACUAGCUCUGGCUAGACAAUCCAUAUGAUAUUAAUCACUUUGUAUUAUUACCAUUAACUAGUCUCAACUUACAUGAUAACCACACUUUUUUUAUACCAAAAACUUCUUCGACAGACACCCCAUUAAGUGAUGUCAUCGUAAGUUCACAGGAGUAUAGCAAUAAUUACGUAUUCUGAACUUUGAAAUUAGAACCCAAAAUAUUUCAAAAUAAAAUCAAACGUUACAACCACUCAACUACAACUUAUUAACCAAAACAUCACUACCCAUCUUCCCUCUUUUGUAUAUAAUCACUCUCCGCUCUCCACUCUCUUAAAUCCCUUCUUCUUUCUCACCCAACACACAUUUCCCACAAAUGGAAACUCGCCGCCGCCACCACCCCUUCCUCCUGCUCAUCCUCCUCCUCCUAUCCACCACCGCUACCGCCGACGACAGAAAAGACAGCUUCCUCUACGGAGGAUGCACCCAACAAAAAUACACUCCGCUCUCCCCCUACGAGUCAAACCUAAACUCCCUCCUCACCUCCUUAGUCAACUCCGCCACCUACUCCUCCUUCAACAAGUUCACCAUCCUCGGAUCCGACGUCGUGUACGGCCUCUACCAGUGCCGCGGCGACCUAUCCAUGCCCGACUGCGCCACCUGCGUCGCCGCAGCCGUCUCCCGCUUCUCCUCCCUCUGCCCGCAGGCCGCCGGCGCCGCCGUCCAGCUCCAGGGCUGCUACGCCAAGUACGACAACGCCACCUUUUUGGGGGUCCAGGACAAGACCGUGGUGCUCAAGAAGUGUGGGCCCUCCGCGGGGUACGACGCUGACGUGGCGUCGUUGAGGGAUGUCGUGCUGUCCGGGCUGGGUGGUCGGACCGGGGCGUAUUAUCGGGUGGGUGGGUCGGGUCGGGUGCAGGGAUUGGCUCAGUGCCUUGGGGAUCUGAGCGUCGGGCAGUGCCAGGAUUGCUUGGGGGAGGCGAUCGGACGGCUGAAAACGGAGUGCGGGAAUGCCGGUUUUGGGGAUAUGUUUUUGGCCAAGUGUUAUGUGAGGUAUUCGACCAGCGGUGGGGCCCGGAUGGGAUCUAGUGGUAAUUAUGGGAAUAAUAACUAUGGCUACAACAGUAACAAGCCUCCUGGUAAUAAUUAUUUACUCAUCAAAUUAAUCGUAUGCAUGUUAUUGUUUAGUUUCACAUUAUAGAAAAUUGAGUGGUUUGCAUGUUAACAGUAGUACUCUUAUUGAAUGAAUGCAGGGAAAUCUACAAACGAGGGGGAGAAGACAUUUGCAAUAAUAAUCGGGCUAUUAGCAGGAGUGGCUCUACUUAUAAUUUUUCUUACUUUCAUCAGGAAAAUAGCUUGCGGUGGACAUGGUAACUAACUUUCAAUUCUUUCAUCCUUAAUCUCUCUACAGGUGACAUAUAUAGCAUCAAAAAAUUGACAUAAAGUAUGCUACUUUAUUGUUUCAGGUAAAUAAAGCAAGACAGUGUUGUUGAGAGAUGUCAGAUUCCAAGUAGUAGUUGACAUGUCCAAACACCCCCCCUCAAUUCAAUUGUUUCUCAACUGUAGUGUAACAUUGUUAUGUCUUCAUAAUGGCUCUUUUAAUUCUGUGUAUGAUGUCUCAUCUUUUUUUUCCUAGCAAAAGAAGAAGGCUUUGAACUGAUUAAAGGUUGAAAGAAAUGAGAAAAAAAAGAUGUUUCAUUAUUGAGUGGACCUCAGACAAAAGGUACAAAUGUAUAUAAAGCAAAAGGGUUAAAGCAGGAUUCCAAAAUCUCCCAUUAGGAUAUCUACUACAAUGGUGUUGCAUAUAUGGUGCCAUAGUUUCUCCCAUUACGACGACGUUGUCUCAGCGGUUCAUAUAAUGGUGGAGACUGGCUCGAGCGAAUGCCUUCGAUCAACCGGGCCACUAGGGCGUGAUUUAUGGCACCUUAUACACGAUUUCGAGGCUCUAUAUGAGAGUUUUAAUUUGAGUUUAUGAGAGUUUUAUUUUGAGGUCACAUAUUGUUUUUUUAUGAGUCUUGUGGUAUAGUCCAUUCUUCAAUUGAUAUAAUUUAAAUUGUCUCAUACUUUCAAUUUGCUAAUACGUUUUCUCUAACAAAAGAAAAAUCUAUUUAUUUAAAUUGGCUAAUAUUUGACAUGAUGUUGGGAAUGACUAAAAGUUAAUAUUUCGCCAUGUUAAACUCUUCAAAUAAUAGCCAAAUAAAGUUAAAAACACUUUUCAACAUACUAAAAUAACAUCGAAUAAAAUUGAUUUUUAACUACGUUUGAUCAUUAGUUAUAGGGGUUACCAUAAUGAAACUUAAUUUUUUAGUCAUUUUCAAUAUGCAUGUCAAAUAUUAGUCGAUUUGAAAUUUUCUUGUAAAAAUGGUUAAUUUCCACAGGUNNNNNNNNNNNNNNNNNNNNNNNNNNNNNNNNNNNNNNNNNNNNNNNNNNNNNNNNNNNNNNNNNNNNNNNNNNNNNNNNNNNNNNNNNNNNNNNNNNNNNNNNNNNNNNNNNNNNNNNNNNNNNNNNNNNNNNNNNNNNNNNNNNNNNNNNNNNNNNNNNNNNNNNNNNNNNNNNNNNNNNNNNNNNNNNNNNNNNNNNNNNNNNNNNNNNNNNNNNNNNNNNNNNNNNNNNNNNNNNNNNNNNNNNNNNNNNNNNNNNNNNNNNNNNNNNNNNNNNNNNNNNNNNNNNNNNNNNNNNNNNNNNNNNNNNNNNNNNNNNNNNNNNNNNNNNNNNNNNNNNNNNNNNNNNNNNNNNNNNNNNNNNNNNNNNNNNNNNNNNNNNNNNNNNNNNNNNNNNNNNNNNNNNNNNNNNNNNNNNNNNNNNNNNNNNNNNNNNNNNNNNNNNNNNNNNNNNNNNNNNNNNNNNNNNNNNNNNNNNNNNNNNNNNNNNNNNNNNNNNNNNNNNNNNNNNNNNNNNNNNNNNNNNNNNNNNNNNNNNNNNNNNNNNNNNNNNNNNNNNNNNNNNNNNNNNNNNNNNNNNNNNNNNNNNNNNNNNNNNNNNNNNNNNNNNNNNNNNNNNNNNNNNNNNNNNNNNNNNNNNNNNNNNNNNNNNNNNNNNNNNNNNNNNNNNNNNNNNNNNNNNNNNNNNNNNNNNNNNNNNNNNNNNNNNNNNNNNNNNNNNNNNNNNNNNNNNNNNNNNNNNNNNNNNNNNNNNNNNNNNNNNNNNNNNNNNNNNNNNNNNNNNNNNNNNNNNNUAAUUUUGACAAGAAAAUUGAAAUUUUUUAAAUUAUCUCAUAUUUGCUAUGCAUGUUGAGAAUGAUUAAAAAUUGAGGUUUAACCAUGUUAAGAGCUUCAACUAAUAGUCAAAUAAAGUGAAAACAAUAUAACGUUCAACACUAGCAUAACAUCGAGUAAAAUUGAUUUUGAACUUCAUUUGAUCAUUCUUUACAUGUAUAACUAUAAUGAACCUUGGUUUUUAGCCAUUUCCAACAUGGUUGUCCAAUAUUAGCCGAUUUGAAAAUUUUGAAAUUUUCAUGUCAAAAUAGCUUGUUUCCAUAGGUUAACCCCUUUCGAAAUUGACCAAUUUUAACAUGAAAAUUAAAAAAUUUCGAAUAACCUCAAAUUUGACAAAAAAAAAACAAA